rnacentral:lncRNA from 1 species
CUCUCAAAGUAUGUGGUAUUUUUGGUAUAAUGCAUAGUGAUAUUGCCUUCUCUCUCACCUUACUCUAAUAAGGUUUUGAUAUCUGGAGCUCAUAGGUGGGAGACAGCUAAUACAUACUUACAAGACAUUUAUUGCAUAGUCAAACCAUGGAUCCAGAAGAACAAGCCAAUAAGUCAAAUCAAGAUGUGCAUGUGUGGCGAGUGAAUGGUGUAUGGUGAUGAUGGUGAUAAUUGUGAAAUCAAUGGUGAAAGUCUAGGGGAUACAUACCUUUGUUGCACUUUGAAGCUUUUUGAGGAGAAUGAGAUGCUCUAUAUUUUUUUUCAGGUGGGUAGCUUUGUACCCCUAAUUCUACUGUCGGACACUUGUCCAUUUUUACCUCUCGUCUCACUUUUUCUUUUCUUCGAGGUUCCGGGCACUUGCCCCUUUUUAUUUCCUCAUAUUCUUUUUCUUGUUUUUUAGAGCACUCAUCACCUGAAAUAAUGUGGCAAAUGGUCGUAACCAAAAUAUCUUGAGCAUUUAUUUCAUGGGGAAUAACAGGGAUAGGAUAAUGGUUUUGGCUAUUCUCUCCUGGAUAGGAGUAGAAUAAUUUUGGGUGAAUCUGGAGAUGGAAAUGAGUGGAUGUAUGUGGAUGCGUACUUCCGGAGUAGAAGCAGCAUGUGUGAGUGAACGUGCAAGUGAAUCUUGAUUUUAACCGCAUGACAAGCUCCUAAGGGUCUAUACAGCUUGACCACACUCAAUGCUCAUAAGCAGUAAAAAGUAAAUAUGUGGCUUAAAGUCUAGCAAGCAUGUAUAUAUGGCUGUGGUAGGAAUUUAAACUCUCAUCAUACAGGAACUCAUCAUGUGUCAUUUUAAAGAUUUUUCAAAGAUAAAAUUUUCCAGAAUUCUAGCAUCUCUAGGAAUAGAAAAACAGCAGCUCAACCUUCCCAUAUCAUAUCCGUUAACGACUUAGACUUUAGAUCAAGUACUCUUCCCACAAGUUUAGGUUUAGAGUAGGUUUAAAUUAUAAAAGUUAUGCCUAAACUUGAGAUAGAGCUCAAACUUGAAAACUAGGUACAUGGCAAAGCAACUAUUUAUCAUUUCUAUGUGAGAGCUUAUCAUGAGGUUUCAUAGCAAACUUUGUUUAUUUAUUUAUUUAGCAAACUAAGCAAAGAUAUAUAAAAGCACAAAAUUUUUAUUUGGGUUUUUUUAUGAUUAUGCAUCUUUUUAUUAUUUGAGUAAAGUAUAAACGCGAGUAGAAACACUUAGCUCGAUAAAUGGGGGUGCUCUCCCCCAAGCUGGAUUUUGACGUAAUUUCUUCUGAUGUAGCUAGCAGGUGGUGGAGGUGUAUUCGAAAGUCGGCAGCACCCAGACAACAAUUAGGAUGUCCUCCGUCUGCUAGUCUUCUUUGAUCCUUUAAUUCUGUGGAGCUCAAAUAGACAACAAAGCUUUGUGAAUCGGGUUAAGUGUUAGCAUAAAUAUCUAGCCUUUAUCAUGUCGAGCCUCCUCAAUAAAUGUUAUUUAUUUAGCAGGAUCAUGCACUUAUUAUUUUUAUAUCUUUAUUGUAAGAUGAAAACAUAUUUAUUUUAUGCCACCACAGUGAAUGUACCUAUGGGUUUUAUGCCAUGAGCAUACUCACAUGGGGCUUACUAUUUUUAACAUUUUUAUUUUCUUUUCGAGAUGAUAUGAACUUGAUUAACUAAGCAAACUAUUUUAAAUAGCUGAAAGGAAAAAGGAUAACUACCAAGUUUACCUCUUGGCACGACGUUCGGUGUUUUUAAGUCCUCCGAACAGGACUCUUUGUUUUCUUAGUCGUCCUGGGAUUCGCUGGAUGGAGUAGUCAGUGGUUCCGGCGGCGCCUCCUCUUCGUGUAUAACUAUCUUCUCUCUCCACACCUGACUCGGUGCUACGGUCUCCUCAGGACAGUUUUGUUCAAGAUGUAUAUCUUUGGACCUUAUUACAUCUCCUUCGUAGUCUACCCAUCCGUCCUUGAUGAUUUGCCUCCGCUGGUUGCGGUUGCGUUGUCUUCUUCUUGUCCUGACCUGCUUAGAGUUUUCAACUAUAUAGUUAGGGUCAGUAAAACAGUGGCAUACCUUCUUAGAGGGGAAGUGGAUGUGGUCUUUUCCGGUUCCAAUGUAGAUGAUGGCUUUAACGGUGCUGAGGAACGGUCUUCCAAGGAUGGUGGGUGGAUCAUACUCGUCUUCUCCCAUGUCAAUGACCUGAAAAUCAUCUGGAGCUGAAUGUAUAUUGGUUGUAGGGGCAUGGUUCCAUGCAGGAGCUGAUAAGUGACUGCGGCCAUUAUGUUGUCGUUAGAUCCGGUGUCGUAGAGUAUCUUCUGAAAAGAGUAUCCAUUGAUUGUGCACUCGAUGCUUGGAACACCAGGGUCGUCCUUCUUGAUGAGGAAAUGUGACUUGAGUCGACGAUCUUGACCUCUUCCGGCAAGGAUCCAAUGUUCUAAGUCUUUUAGACAAGACUUCUCACCGUGUUCAUCCUUUAGGUGCAUCAUUUGAUUAGUUGUGGACCUUGACGUCUGCACCUCUUGACACAGUGUCACCCAUGUUCUUCGUUUGCCUAGCAGUUCGAAGUGUGGUGUUGGCAACAUCCUGCUCAGUUUGUUUGUGCUCGUAGAUUCAGGUCCUUCACUUGGUGGAGUCUGGGAGUUGUAAAACUCCUUCAUGUUUUGCUUGAAGUGUACCUGUUCAUAGAGACAAGGCAGAGAUCAAGUGCAUGGGCCCUGUUGGUGGAAAACACCAACAGAACCAAAAGUGUAUUUGUUCUUCUCUAACCUUAAGCAUAGUGAGCAAGAUAAAGUUGAUGGAUCAUGAGUGUAGCAUUUGGAAUAUUUGUCAGAUCAGCUGGCUCAACCUAAUGGAAAGAUAAUCUAUCUAUGUAUAUGUCUUUUUCUUUAUAUCUUCCCAAAGAUUGAAUGUGCAACAUUUUAGCUUAUAUGAUUAGGAGUGUGGGAUCACGAAGGUAGUACUAAGAACAAAGAUUAAAGGACUAAACAUGUUUAAUUAAUUGAGUUGGUUAAUCUGGAGUUAUAAAUCAUACAUGUUUGUCUCUUUAUUUAUGUGUAUGCCAGAACCAAAGAGAUGCUUAUAAAAGUGAUAGUUAAGUACCUUAAGGUGUUACCUUAAUUGAAGAGUGAUGAUAUAGUAUCACCUUGUGGAAGCUUUCCUUUCUUAGCGGUUGUGCAUCAUGUUUGUGGCACCCUCCAUAGAUCAUCUGAAUGAGCUAUGUCUUUCUUGUACAAAUUGUUAAACUUCAUGUGUCUCCUUUAUCUCCAAUGAGCUUGUAGCUUAGGACUUCCCAGGUUAAUAUUGAAAGUUUUCCUGCAGGGAUUAGUCCAACAAAAUAUCCCGUAUCUACUAUAGCAUACUAUCGGCUCAAAAAUCAACCUAGACACCAUGUCUAAUUUGAUUUAGGAGGGCAUUUUAACCUAAGCACCAUGCUUAAUUUAAAAAUCCUUUGGAAGUAAGAUCAUCAUUCCUAAACUAAGCACCAUGCUUGAUUUAAGAGAUAAAUGAAACUACUCCAAACCUAGACAUAUACUAAAGCAAAUAAAGGUAGCAUGAGAGCAUUUAUAGAGAUCUACUCAAGUGGAGGUGAAGUAGUGUAAUUAGUAUUUAAUAAAUUGAGCAUGUCUCAAAGGUAGGGACAACGAGCAUAGCAAUAUGGCAAAUGAUGUUUUUAUGUAAAGUACUCCCCCAAGCUUGAAUUUUGCAAAAUUCAAUGUUGGAUGAAUUUAAUUCAAUGUUGUGUGAUGGUUGGUUGGACAUACCUUGUGCUUGUCAUUCCUCGGAUCUUCUUGCUCCAAUCCUAGAAAGGUUAGUGACAAGAAUACCCGAAAGAAUAUUUCUACAAUUAUCUUUAUAUGCUCAAUACACAAGGCAAUGUUGCAAAUAAUUAGAAGUUCAUGUUACGAUCUGAUCAGUGCUUGUUUUAGGACACUAAGCUUGUCCUUGGGAAACCAUCAAUUUAUAUCAGCAAAGUGGUUUCUCCUCCGAUGCUGACCUAUAUCAAGAUCAACUCGACGAGAUCUGCAAUAUUUAUUAUAGACAUAUGCAUCGACAACCACCCUUUUAAAGUUUUUAUAAAUAGAAAUAAAGAGGGGGUUGGAGAUCUUAAAUGUGGUGAUGUUGGAGAGACCAAUAGAUUCGGAAGAUGUUUUAUAUGGGCAAGGAUUGGGAGAGGUAUUUAUGAAAUAACUUCCAUGCUCACUGUUGUUUCUCUCAUUCUCAAACUCCAAGGAUGAUUCUUCAUGAAUGCUUAAAAUUCCUCUAGGAUUGUCUCUCAAGUUUGUUUUAUCCAUCCAUUUAAUGGUGAUAGCACAUGGAUUUUAAAUGCCCUCUAGCCAUUGAUAUUGCUCUUCUCGAUCCUCCUUGUGGUCUUGGUGACUCUUAUGCAUGGCAUGUCUAGAGAGAUUCAUAGGAUCAUCUGGAGGUUCAAGAGAAAGAGCAUAGUAGAAAUUAUUAAGCUCAAGGAUGGGUUGGAUAGCCGAAUCAUGGAGUUGAAAUGUUUGGAAAUCGGCUAUUGAAACUUCCUUUUCUUGUCUGGGAGAUGAUUCCUUCUCUAUCUCUAAGAUUUUUCUAUGAAGACUAGUACAAGAAGGAUGUCCACAAAUGAAGACAUACCUUCCUUUACUAAUAGAUAAAGAAAGAAAGACUAUACCAAAGGUUAUAUGAUUAAAACCAAUAUGAAAAUAUCGAGAAAAAACAUGGUCUUGUAGGGCUAGGUUUAAACCAGAAUUUAUAGAAAGAUUAACAGAUUCUCUAGGUGUAGUUAAAAGUGUAUUAUCUUCUUUAUUAAAAGAUAGGACCUCGGCUAUAGAAAAGGGUUGGUUUUGACCUAUUGCAAUCAACUCCAGACACAGAUCAUAAUUAGGUGCAGGACUUCUUGACUCCCAUGGUCUAUGGCUGGUCUCCGAAGGUGCAAAGAAUUCAAUAAUAGGUAUGGAAUUUAAGUUAUCCAUAAAGAUAAAAAUAAAAAGAUAAAAGAAUAAAAGUAUAAAAGUAUAAUACAAGUGUCGAGGGUAUCAACAAGGGGUACCCUCACCAACGCGAAUAACGAAACCAUCCGUACGUAAAACUAGCGCCUCGAUUCGACGCUCCGUCCGCACACACGCACGACCAUCGAUGACCGUAGCCUUGAAGACGGAAAUAGCGUCGAGCGAAUCAGUCAGGCGUCGAGCUCUGGUCAACGUCGAAUACGGAACCGGCUCUCGCAAAUCGGGAGGCGUUGGGCGCAAGGACGCUGCCGCCGCCUAACGCGCGCACGCGGGCCGGGGCAUUAAAUGCGCCUGGUGCCUCCCCACCUAACACAUGGGUCACGGGGGGCGUGAUAGAAGAACAGGCACUUGUCCCAUCGAUCUUUUUGCAGCCUUCCCCACCAAACGGCCCAAGGCGUGUCAAGACGUGGGAAACAGAGACGGAGUGUCUAAUCAAGACCCCCUCGAGAUGGCCAAAGUCAGCGCUUCAACAUCAGGACGUCGUACGGCGUCCGACCCUCGACCAGAUAGAGACCCAUCCAGGAGACAAGUCGGGCGUCGACUGACCACAUCCCAACUACACCGCCGGAUUUGCCGUCGGGUCGUACGAGCGUACAUCAGGCAAACGAAUCCAGGACGGCGUGCAGAACGGAAUGCAAGGGCACGCGUAAUCAUCACCAGGCUAUUAAGACGGGACGACUCGAGGCCAUGACGGUACGGAAGCCUCGAGUAGGUCAGCGCUCCAUACUGCUAUCGACUCCUAUUCUGAUGCCUAUACAUGUACCCUGGGUCUCUCCUUGGGACUAUAAAAGGAGGAACUCAGGAAUAGAACAAAAAAAACAAGACCACGCUCACACAUAGUAGAGCACGACACUUCACACCACGCUUGUAUUCACCCCUGUACAAGCACCUAGGUGCAAGAUAAUACAAACUCUCUCCCCCCCGCUGGACGUAGGGCCUUCUCUUGCCCGAACCAGGAUAAAUCUCUGUGUCUUCUUGCAUCACCAUCCGAGAAAGGGAGCACGCAUACAAAUUUACUCGUUGGUGUGACCCCCCGGGGGAAAACGCCGACAGUUGGCGCGCCAGGUAGGGGUCCUGCGUGUUUUUCAUCGAUUUCCCACUCCUUUCCGGAUGGCUACUCUUGCCUCGCCGUUUCCGCGCUCCACGGUGAUUUGGUUUGGGAGUCUCGAGUUCAUGUCUACGGGCUCCGACUACGACAUGAUCUUGCUCUCAGUCAAAGGACCAGGAGGAGCCCGCGUUACGCCAGCACGGUUGAAGGCCCCGAGACGCCCUCACCACCACGCCUCCCCGCCUAAGAAGAGGCGCGGACAGCACCACCGCGGCCCCUCUGCUUCAGCACGACCAACAACUCGUGCGAGGCAGGACGUAGGCCACAAGUCGGCAGCACCGUGUGACGGAGCAACAAACGCGACGACUCAGCACCGCGCGACGACGGGAGGGGACGCGUCUCGCGCGCUCUCCCCCACCGCUGCUAGGCUACUUCCACACGGGUUGUUCACUCCAAGAGCGGCACUGCCGUUUGGAUUGGACAACGUCGCGGCGUCGCUCGCCAGGGCGAUAUGCCCAAACGCCCAGACGUACGUAGAAAGACCAAUGGUCCUCCCACGUAGCUCUGAAGCGCGGCGGCCGGCGUCCGAGCUGCCGGACCUUUCCCGAGUACGAGGCCUCCGUCGUCGAGGCCCCGGACGAUACUCGAUCACCUCCCUCAGGCAACGAUUGCUGGAGGAAGGACGUGGGUGUUUCUACGCCGCCAAACCGGACUCCGACUCCGAGACAGAUAGCUAUGACCCUACGAGGGAAUGCUAUCACAUCGAUGGGGCGGUAGAAACUACUGACGAGACACGGGAUGCUACUACGGGUGGUCGAGCCCCCGCGACGCGAGAAGACCCCAGGACGCCUGGGAACGACGGACAGGUCGACCCCCCUCCUCAGGAAGACAGAACCGCGCAGCUCGCGCAGCUGCGGGAGCUCAAGAUGAAGCUCGACGAAGACCACGAGCGCCUCGUCCUGCUCGAGCAAAUCCUCGAGCAAGACCUGCCCUACCCGCCGGGCGGAAGUGUCCGCAGACGCGCUCGAGAGGUACAUCGACAGAUCGUCGGCGACGCAGAGCCAGAGCAACCUGUCAACCGUUUCCCUCGAGCAGGCCAGAAUGUAGUAGCAGCGACGAUGCUGCUACGUAACAUGCCAGAGCCAUCGAAUUCCCAGGCCCGACGCAUUCGAGAUGAGGUACAGACAUUGCUCCAGGUGGCGGCGGUUCAACAAGCCGAAAGUUCGGCAUCUCGACGACGAGGAGCUGCCACAGAGAAGCGCGACGAACAGCCUCUAAACGAAGAGGAGGUGUCGGUCCAUCAACAACCUCCCCCUCGAGGUAGAAAGACCGCUCUCAUCCUCCCCGUCGACAAUCAACGUCGACACGACGCGCGGCACGACAUCAAAGAAAAUCGACGCCGCCGGCACGGAGACGCGGAAGAGCGCGGUUACAGCGCGCAUCGCGGUGGGAGAUACGACAGCGACGAGGACCGGGUGGCCCCCGAGCCACCAGGCCCACGGGUGUUCAGCAGGGCGAUCCGCAGCACGCCCCUGCCCAAUCCAUUUCGACCCCCGACCAGCAUCGCGAAGUACAAUGGAGAGACCAAACCAGAGUUGUGGCUGGCCGACUUCAGGCUGGCCUGUCAGCUAGGUGGCGCUCGAGGUGAUGAUCGAGCCAUCAUCAGACAGCUACCCCUUUUCCUCUCCGACACCGCCCAUCGAUGGCUCGAGGAACUCCCUGCCAAUCAGAUCCACAACUGGGUUGAUCUGGUCAGAGUCUUCGAGGGUAACUUCAAAGGGACCUACAUACGGCCAGGGAACUCGUGGGACCUCAGCAAGUGCAAGCAGAAGUCAGGAGAAACUCUUCGGGAGUAUGCUCGACGCUUCUCGAAGCAGCGCACUGAGCUGCCGCACAUCCCUGACCACGACGUCAUCUUGGCGUUUGUCUCGGGCACCACCAGUCGAGACUUGGUGCGGGAAUUAGGUCGCAAUCGACCUCAGACCGUCGACGAGCUGAUGGACGUAGUAGCCAACUAUGCGGCAGGGGAGGAGGCAGUCGGCGCCUUCUUUAGCUCAGAAGGAAGAAAAGGCAAGCAGCCCGUCGACGAAGAUGGGACCCCCAGUCGAGGCCUCAAGAAAAAUAAAAAGAAGCAGAAAGUGCGGCAGUUCCACCGGGAAGAUUCCGAUGACAACCUUGUCGCCGCCAUGGAUCGAAAGAAGCCUCGAGGCCCUCCGGAUGGAGGCAUCUUUGACAAGAUGUUGGAGGAGCCGUGCCGUUACCAUAAGGGAGGCGCCAACCACAAGCUCAAGGACUGUCGUAUGUUGAGAAAGCAUUUCGACGGUCUGGGGUUCAAAAAAGAUACGCGUGAUGACUCCAAGAAAGAGAAGGGUGGCAGCAAGGAGGACAACAAAGAUGACGACGGCUUCCGCGCCGUCCACGACUGCUACAUGAUCUAUGGCGGGCCCUCGACUCAAUUAACCAUGAGGCAGCGCAAAAGGGAGCGUCGCGAAGUCUUUGCGGCAAGAAUGGCGGUGCCCCAGUACCUUAGCUGGUCAAGCACUCCUAUCACUUUCGACCGAGAGGACCACCCCGACAAGGUAGUCGCACCAGGCGUCUACCCGCUCGUCGUCGACCCCAUCAUCGUCAACACCCGACUCUCGAAAGUGCUGAUGGAUGGUGGCAGCAGCCUCAACAUCAUCUACCUCGAGACCCUCGACCUCCUCGGCAUCGAUAGAGGACGCCUCCAGCCAAGCGCCGGCAGUUUCCAUGGCGUCAUGCCAGGGAAAAAGGCACUGCCAGUAGGUCGAAUUGACCUACCGGUCUGCUUCGGCACAGCGGCCAACUUCAGGAAGGAGACCCUCACCUUUGAGGUGGUUGGGUUCCGAGGCACGUACCACGCCAUCAUCGGGCGCCCGGGCUACGCCAAGUUCAUGGCUAUACCCAACUACACCUACUUGAAGCUGAAGAUGCCCGGUCCCAAAGGCGUCAUCACUGUCAGUUCCUCCUUCGAGCACGCGUACGAGUGCGACGUCGAGUGCGUCGAGUACGGGGAGGCGGUCGAGAGCUCCACCGAGCUCGUUGCAAAGCUCGAGGCCAUGGCCGCUGAGGCUCCAGAGCCUAAGCGUCAUGCGGGCAGCUUCGAGGCGGCGGAAGGAACCAAGAAGAUCCCGCUCGACCCCAACAACUCCGACGGCAAAGUGCUGACGAUCAGCACCGACCUCGACCCCAAAUAGGAAGCCGUGCUCGUCGACUUUCUCCGUGCAAAUGCUGAUAUGUUUGCAUGGAGUCCCUCGGACAUGCCAGGCAUACCGAGGGAAGUCGCCGAGCACUCCUUGGAGAUUCGAGCCGGUUCCAAGCCAGUGAAACAGCGGUUGCGCCGAUUCGAUGUGGAGAAGCGCAAGAUCAUUGGCGAGGAAGUCCACAAGCUUUUGACGGCCGGAUUCAUCAAGGAGGUUCAUCAUCCUGACUGGUUAGCAAACCCUGUAUUAGUUAAGAAAAAGAAUGGGAAAAUGAGGAUGUGUGUCGAUUAUACUAGUCUGAAUAAAGCAUGUCCAAAAGUUCCCUUUCCAUUGCCACGCAUUGAUCAGAUUGUCGAUUCUACCGCGGGAUGUGAAACCCUUUCUUUCCUUGAUGCAUAUUCUGGUUACCACCAAAUAAAAAUGAAGGAGUCCGACCAGCUCGCGACCUCUUUCAUCACGCCUUUUGGGAUGUAUUGCUACGUGACCAUGCCAUUUGGGCUUCGAAACGUGGGAGCCACGUAACAACGUUGCAUGCUCCACGUAUUUGGCGAACAUAUAGGGUCAACGGUCGAGGCCUACGUCGACGACAUUGUCGUCAAGUCAAAGCGACGAGGAGACCUGAUCCAGGACCUCGAGAUUGCCUUUAGCUGUCUACGCACCAGCCGGAUCAAGCUCAAUCCCGAGAAGUGCGUUUUCGGUGUGCCUCGAGGCAUGCUCCUAGGAUACAUCGUUUCGCAGCGCGGCAUCGAGGCCAACCCCGAGAAAGUCUCGGCUAUCACGAAAAUGGGGCCGAUCCGAGACAUCAAGGGUGUACAGAGAGUCACGGGGUGCCUGGCGGCUCUGAGCCGUUUCAUCUCGAGACUAGGAGAAAAGGCAUUACCAUUAUAUCGACUCCUAAAGAAGGUCGAGCGCUUUUCUUGGACCCCCGAGGCCGAGGAAGCACUCGAAAGGCUGAAGAAGACGCUGACCUCGGCACUAGUCCUGGUUCCACCUGAACCUGCAGAGCCGCUGCUCCUCUACGUCGCGUCGAUGACCCAGGUCGUCAGCGAGGCGGUGGUGGUCGAGAGGCAGGAGGAGGGACAUGCGCUACCAGUUCAGAGGCCAGUAUAUUUCAUCAGCGAGGUGCUUUCGGAGACCAAAGCACGUUAUCCCCAAAUCCAGAAGCUGAUUUAUGCCGUAAUCCUUGCCCGUCGCAAGCUGCAGCAUUACUUCCUUGGCCACCCCAUCACGGUGGUCUCGUCUUUUCCUUUAGGCGAAAUAAUCCAGAGCAAAGAAGCCACGGGAAGAAUAGCAAAAUGGUCGGUCGAGCUCAUGAGUGAGACUCUCACUUAUGCGCCUCGCAAGGCCAUCAAAUCGCAGGCCCUGGUAGACUUCAUCGCAGAAUGGACGGACACCCAGCUCCCCCCGACCCAGGUCCAGGCGGAACUAUGGACGAUGUAUUUCGAUGGGUCACUCAUGAAAACUGGAGCCGGAGCCGGCCUGCUGUUCAUCUCACCCUUGGGCGUCCACAUGAGGUACGUAAUCAGGAUUCAUUUUGCCGCAUCUAACAAUGUCGCAGAAUAUGAGGCCCUCGUCAACGGUCUCAAGAUCGCUAUCGAGUUAGGAGUCCGACGCCUCGACGUCCGAGGUGACUCCCAACUCGUCAUCGACCAAGUAAUGAAAACCUCGAGCUGCCACGACCCAAAAAUGGAAGCGUACUGCAAAGAGGUCCGUCGACUCGAGGACAGGUUCCACGGUCUCGAGCUUGUCCAUAUCGCUCGACGCUACAACGAGGCAGCCGACGAACUCGCCAAGAUCGCAUCGACCAGAGGCACGGUGCCGCCUGAUGCAUUCUCAAAAGAUCUUCACGAGCCAUCCGUCGACCUAGGCAUGGGGGCUGGCGUCGACGCCACCACCGCCCAACCAACCAAUGCUGUCGAUACGCUCUUGAUGGUGGAAGAGAUGAUGGAGGUUGAACGACGACCAGGUCGACCAUUCGAUUGGCGCACACCGUUCCUCGACUGCCUUAUCCGCGGCGAGUUGCUAGAAGACAGGUCAGAAGCUCGUCGUAUCGCUCGACGGGCCAAAUCAUAUGUGAUCUAUGGCGAAGACAACGAGCUAUAUCGACGGAGCCCGACGGGGGUCUUACAACGUUGCAUCACCGUGGAAGAAGGCCGAAAACUCCUCGAUGACCUGCACUCGGGGGCUUGCGGUCACCACGCCGCUCCACGGACCCUUGUAGGGAAUGCUUUUCGACAAGGCUUCUACUGGCCAACGGCCGUGGCGGACGCCAUCGAGCUCGUACGAUCAUGUCACGGGUGUCAGUUCUACGCCAAGCAGACGCAUCUGCCUGCCCACGCUCUUCAGAUGAUCCCCAUUACCUGGUCGUUUGCGGUGUGGGGGCUCGAUUUAGUAGGACCUCUACAAAAGGCGAAAGGAGGAUUCACCCAUUUGCUGGUGGCCAUUGACAAGUUCUCCAAAUGGAUCGAGGCUCGACCCAUCACCAACAUCCGCUCCGAGCAGGCCGUCCUUUUCUUCACCGACAUCAUCCAUCGGUUUGGGAUCCCCAAUGUCAUCAUCACCGACAACGGCACCCAGUUCACCGGCAAAAAGUUCUUGGACUUCUGCGAUCGGCAUCGCAUCCGUGUGAACUGGUCUGCAGUAGCCCACCCUCGAACUAACGGCCAAGUCGAGCGUGCCAACGGCAUGAUUUUGCAAGGACUCAAGCCAAGGAUCUACAAUCGAUUGAAGAAAUUCGGCAAGAAAUGGGUCGAGGAGCUUUCCUCAGUCCUAUGGAGCCUUAGGACAACACCAAGCAGGGCCACAAAAUACACCCCGUUCUUCAUGAUCUAUGGCUCUGAGGCUAUCCUCCCCACAGACCUCGAGUAUGGGUCACCUCGACUCAAGGCCUACAACGAGCAAUCGAACAAAGAGACUCAAGAAAACGCGGUCGACCAACAUGAGGAGGCUAGAGACAUGGCCCUCCUCAACUCUGCCAGAUAUCAGCAAAGGCUUCGACGCUACCACGACAAGCAUGUGCGCAAGAGGGACCUCAACGUGGGCGACCUAGUCCUACGAUGCCGGCAAAGCAAUCAGGGACGCCACAAGCUGACUCCGCCUUGGGAAGGUCCGUACGUGGUGGCCGAGGUCCUGAAGCCGGGAACGUACAAGCUGGCGGACGAAAACGGGGCAAUCUUCACCAACGCAUGGAACAUCGAACAGCUACGUCGAUUCUACCCCUAGAAGUUCUAAACUUAUGUUCCUGCUUAUGUUUUGUACCAAGACUUUGUAAACGAAUGAAUGAAUAAAUAAAGUCCUUCCCUCGAAACAAUUCUUCUUUCUUUGUGCCGAGAAGAUUAAUAAGUCACGAUCUCGACGUUAAAAGGGGGCACCGACUAUGACCCAUCAUAGUCAGCACCCCCUCGGGGGCUACCAGGGGGACGACCCCCCCCCCCGAGUAUCGAAAAAACCAAGAAGUUUUAUUUUCUUACGUAGCAAACCUUGCACGGUUCAAGUAGCUAAGGCGCCUCGAGCCCCUCAAAGGCCGAGGGACAACGAGCUGGAGAACUCCUACGCCCCCGGGCUAUGGAAACUCUACUCACUUCCCCACCAUUGAAGUGAUCGAGGUGGUCUUUUAUGAAAAAUCGAGUAAGGGAUACAAACGUAGGCGCAAAGAGAAACGAAAGCAUCAAGCGGAAAGACAAAAUAAGCAUUUAACAAUUACGAAAGUGAUACAGCAUCAGUUACCCACAGAAUUAACAAAGUAUCGUACAAGGGGCCUCAGGCGCCCUGAGCAGGCUCGCAGGCCUCAGUCCGCGGCACGAUCCUCACCGCCCUCGCCUCCGCCCGAGCUAGCCUCAGGAGGGAGCACCUCAGGCUCGAAAAGCUUGGCCAACCUUUCCCCAGGAGCCUCCGCGUCGUCGAUCAAGGCAUGGUGCCUCUCCUCGUUCUCCGCGUCGGUCUUGGAGAUGUCGGUGACGAAGCCAUGGGACACCACCUCCAUGUCGUAGGAGAAGCCCGAGCAGACAACCGCCAUCGCCCGCUUCACCCCGAUGUGGAGGGCGUCCCGCACCCGAUCUCGCAGCGUCGCGCCUAUGUAGCACAACUGGUCGACCAGGGCGUCGCCUCGAGCGCCCUCCCUCGACUCAUCCAUAGGCUCGACCUCCCAAGAGGUCGAGAGAUCACUUAUCGCCGUCCGCACUCGACGGUUCAAAGCAACCUCCGCUUCGAGCUGAGCCUUGGCGUUGCGAGCCUCGGCUUGGGCGGCCAGGAGUUCGUCCUUGAGCCCUGUAAAGGGCAAUACAAGGCACUUUAGCAAAAACCAAACACGCCUUGAAGAAGAAAUCUAGCGACAGGAACAUACCACGAACGCUCUCCUCCAGGGCCGUGUUCUCGCCGACCAGUCUGGUGUUGGCACGCUCGAUCUCCCUGUUGGAGCGCGCCAGCUCAGUAUUGGCGACGCGGAGAUCUUCGAUCACCUUGCCAGCCUGAACAAUGGCCCCACUCUUCUCCAGCAAUUCUCCCUUCAGACGCUCGACGUCGUUAGAGAGACUGCGGGAUUGAGCCCGCUCCGCCUCGAGAUCUUCGAGGGCCUUCUUCCUGGCUUCCUCUGCGGCGCCCCUGGCGACUUCGCCGUUCACAUGCUCCACCUUCAUCUUUUGGAAAGACUCUCGGAGAGAGUCCAGGUCGGAUUUAAGGAGGCCCUUCUCCUUGUCCAAAUCCGCGAUGACGUUCUUGUAGGACAGGACCUCCUCCCUGGCCUUAGACGCGGCCUCCUCGACCGUAAGGGCGCGCUCCCGCAGCAGCACUGUCUCCUCCUCCGACUUCUUCGAGGCCUCUCGAGCCUCGGCCAAAGCAGCCUCCCUUACCUUUUUCUCCUCCUCAAGCGCUAUGAGAUCUUUAUAAGCUUUCAGGAGCUUUUCCUGCGACUCGAGGAGCUGGUCCUUGAGGAGGGGGAGCUGCUCCCAACCACCCCUCGUGGCGUGUAUGAAGCUGGACUUGAUGCGGGAGGUCUCUUUCAUAUCCUGCGAAUCAAGGGGUGUACGGAUUAGAACACAGAAACCAGAAAGCACCGUGGGAAUUGAAGUUCGAGAAACACUUACGAAAUAAGCCGGGCCGAGCCCGUUGUUAACAACGUCUGAGAGGAGCCCCACCACAUGCUUCAUCCAAAGGCGGAGCUCCUCGACGUGUUCCCACUUCUCCGCCUCCUUCCGAUCGUCGAGGAAGAUAUCGGGCUCAGACGGGUCGUGGGAGGCCCGGAUACGGAUGCGAUCGGGGCACCAGUGCUCUAUCUCCCGGUCGGCCCGCGCCUUAACGCCGCGGAUGAGGCCCUCGACGGUCUCGAGAGAGCCCCCAUGGCGCAGGAAUAGGUUGACGAGGCAUGGGAACCGCCCGUCGUCGUCCACCGUCUUCCAGGUCCCGUCCUUGGUCCCUGAUGUCCCGAUUUCGUCCUCUUCGGAAGGAAAGAGGUCCUCCCACGCCCGACGUUCCCGGAGGAACCCUGGGGCGAUCCCAUCCAUGCCGUAAAUUGUCCUCUUGAUCUCGGACUCGGGGUCGGGGGGGGGUGCGCUUCAGGCACGCAAGCGCCACCACUCCAUCCGCUCGCCCCGGCUCCGCCCGGAUCGCGGCAGGCGCCCCCGGGAGGAGCCACGCCGGAGUUGGGGGGCCGUACGCCGGCAGAUUCUCCUCCUACUCGCCGGGCUCUUGCGGCUUCGAUGGUACUGGCUGGGCCAGACCUUGGGGCGGAGGCUCGAGCAGUCCCUCCUCUUGGCCCCCCUGCUGCUGCUGCUGUUGCUGCUGCGGUUGUUGCUGCUGUUGCUGUUGCUGCUGCGGUGUUUGCUGUUGCUGCUGCUGCUGUUGCUGCUGCUGCUGUUGUUGUUGCUGCUGUUGCUGCUGCUGCGGUUGUUGUUGUUGUUGCUGCUGCUGCUGCUGUGCCUCGUGCUCCUGCGGCUGCCGCGCCGCCUCGCGCUCCCGCUGUUCAUCCUCCUCCCUCUUCUUUUUCUGCUCCUCGAGGGUACGGAGGCCGGCGGGCCAGGGAGUUGACCCCGCAACACGAGGGCUCGACGUUUCCUCCUCCAUAGGGCAGGCACCCCCAGACGCUCUGUCACCAUCAGACGUGUCGCUGAUGGUGAUGGGUUCCCCCUCGACCCCCAAUCGAGGGGGCUCGGGGGCUCCCUCUAACGCUUGCGUCUGGGACGCCUCGCCACAAGUCGGCGGCGACGAGGCAGGCACGGGAUGAGGCGGACUCCUCUCGACACCGGCUGGAGGUUGGGAGUCGGAGGAGCCUACAAAACAAGGGAUAAAGGUUAGACGCUGUAAUAACCGACGCGAGAACAUCACAGGGCCCAUAAACAAGCUAUAAACCUGGUUCCUUGGAGGCGGUUCCUGUUUUGAGCCUCUUUGCCAUGGACGGCUGGGCCCGCUCGAGGGUCCGCUUUAGCCUGAGAAAAGAUCGGCAUAUGAGCAAACACAGAGGAGCAGGAAGACAAAGGCCACAGCAUCGAAAGGGCUUCCCCUACAGGAAGAAUAGCUCGCCUCCCGCCGCCCCGACCGGCGGGCCUCGAGCCUCCCCGCGUCAGGGUUCUAGGCCCCUCGAGGGCAGGCACGGGCCUAGGCGCAUCAGUUCCCGCAUGGCGGGCGCCGGGACUGGCACUCCUGCGGCCGGCCUCUCCUUUCUCGGAGGCCGCGGCACGACCGCGGGUCAGUGGCCCCGUCGCCUGGGGCCUAGCAUGACCACUCUCCCUGGGUGCCGGGGGAGGGCGCGGCGCAACUUGACCAACCUUGGGCGCGGGAGGGGUAUCGGCGCGAGGACGGAGGGAUCCGCCUGGGCCCUCCGACGAAGCUUCCGCCCGAGGAGCGUCGGCCUCGCCUUGAGAUGGACCCCCGAGGAUCCGGUCAAGGCGAGACGCCAUCCCCUCGGAGUCCUCACUAUCCUCAUCGUCGUCAUCAUCUUUCUCGCUGGGGGACUCUUCCUCAGGCUCUCCCCUCUGCCUGGAUUUUGACCGGCGCGCCUCUAAAGCUUGCCGGUCAAGGUUUUUCUUCUUCUCCCCUUUCUUCUUAGAGUCCUUGACGGACUUCGACUUCUCGGCGGAACGGCGCCGCGCGUCGCGAUCGACUUCGUCCUCCUUCACCGGGGGCCUCGAGGAUCGAACGUCGAUCCGCCCCUGCCAUAGUAAAAGUAGAAUCAGAAAAAAGGGGUGGAAAAGGAACCCAGAGUCAAGGCUACCACGAGGAAGAAGACAUACCAGAUCGACCGAGCCUUCAUCAGGCCUCAUAGGGAAGCCAUUAACGUGCGACGGCUUGAAAUCGCCGGCGAUGGCCGCCCUGACCCGGGCGGCGACCUCAUCGUCCGCCAGAGCCACGUUGGACAUCCGGCAAGCCUCGAGAUCCCGGGACGAGACGCCCGGCCCCAUUUCGUCCAUCCUCAAUGGCCGAGACAUCAGGGGAAGGACCCUCCGACGAUGGACGGCCGAGAGGACGAGAGCGGCGGACAGGCCCUCCAAGCGCAGCCUCUUCAUAGCGUCGAGGAGGGGGUCGAGCCGUGACUGGUGCUCCUGGACGACGCCGUAUGUCCAGUUGUCUGGGCGCUCCGAGAUCAGACGGCCUGUGUAGACGGGGAAGAGACCGUCGUCGUUCCUCAGAUAGAACCACUUGAGUCCCACCCAGCAUGGUUCGACGACAGCCCCACCGGGAUGUACUCGCGCGGCCUCUCCGUCUUCUUCGUCUUCAACACCAGGUUGAGGCAUCCGGCCCGCACGGGUUUCCUCACACCGGUGGUCCUGGUGGGGGCGUUGAAAAGUUCGCCCCUGUAGAGGUGAAGCCAUAGAUCCCAAUGGGGCAUCAUCCCCAGAUAACCCUCGCACACCACGGCGAAGACCGCCGCGACGGUGAUGGCGUUCGGGGAAAAAUGCUGGAGCUCCACCCCGUAGUGGAAGCAGAGAGCCCGCAUAAAGCGGCUCGGGGGAGCGCCCAGGCCAUGGCGGUGGAAUUUGGCGAAUGACACAACAUAGCCCUCGGGUGGCUGGGGCUCCCUGUGACUCGCCGGCAGCGCGAUCCACUCCGGCGAAGACUGCAAGGUGCGGCGGCGCAAGAGCCCUUCAUUCUCGAGCUCUAGCAGGCGGCGGUCCGUCAUCAACGACGGACGCCAGUCGUCGGCGGCAACAAGCCUCACAGGCAUCUUGGUUGGAAUACGGUGGAUUCGCUAACCGCUCGAGGGGGUGCACGCGCGUGUGAAGGAAGCAAGAGAGCAAAGGCAGCAAGAAGACGGAGGCGAGAGAACGGAAGAGGAGAGAAAGAAUGGAGCAGCGCCACGGCGUACUUAUAGAUAGCGGCCAACCAACGGACGGAUCCGAUAAAUGAGGUAACUCCCCCCAUAAAUGCGCCGUCUAACGGUCCUUUCUCUCCUCACAGGCCGGACGCUCUGGAUUCCCCGCCGAUACAGUGUCGCAAUGUCACUUACCUCAAAAGGUGCGCCCAACGGGCGGAAAGACGAACCGGCAAGGCAGCUUCCUUGCUUCGUAAGCCAAGGUACGCGCCCACAAUAGUCUCGAGAGGUCGAGGGCUGGCCCGUCGAAAGGGUUCGACAGCCGAUCUCGAGCACCAAGAGUCAGGGGUCCCCAGCGAGUGGUCGAAAAUCGAGGCAUGCCUCGAAAACUCGCUGGCGAUGUCCAAGGCAGGGUCGAGACAGUCGAGAGGAAUCCCCCCGACGGGAGGCAUCGAGCCGCUAGACUCUAUCGAAUGAGACCGGUAUCCCCGACCACGUCGACCCAGCUUUAUGAGAACGCCUCCGGGCUACAGCUGACCCCCUCGAAAGGGGCACAGGUUCUCACUUGGACUACCCGCUAGGAACUCGAUCUGGAGUGGAAGACGCUCGCUCUAUCGAGAGUACGUCGAAACCUCCACGCAAGGCAAAGCCGAUCAGAACCUUCCACCACUGGUGUCGACAGUGUCUCUUCAAAUUAGGCAAAAUAACCCCCAAGGGAGUUAAAUACUCCCUCGAGGGCUCGGGGGCUACCCCCGCGGGGUCGCUCGCGUGCCCCCGCGGAACCUCGACUGAAAAGACAAAAGUCUCCACUCGAGCGCCAGCGCUCGAAUGGAGACUCGGGGGCUACUGUCGAGGGUAUCAACAAGGGGUACCCUCACCAACGCGAAUAACGAAACCAUCCGUACGUAAAACUAGCACCUCGAUUCGACGCUCCGUCCGCACACACGCACGACCAUCGACGACCGUAGCCUCGAAGACGGAAAUAGCGUCGAGCGAAUCAGUCAGGCGUCGAGCUCUGGUCAACGUCGAAUACGGAACCGGCUCCCGCAAAUAGGGAGGCGUUGGGCGCAAGGACGCUGCCGCCGCCUAACGCGCGCACGCGGGCCGGGGCAUUAAAUGCGCCUGGUGCCUCCCCACCUAACACAUGGGUCACGAGGGGCGUGAUAGAAGAACAGGCACCUGUCCCAUCGAUCUUUUUGCAGCCUUUCCCACCAAACGGCCCAAGGCGUGUCAAGACGUGGGAAACAGAGACGGAGUGUCUAAUCAAGACCCCCUCGAGAUGGCCAAAGUCAGCGCUUCAACAUCAGGACGUCGUACGGCGUCCGACCCUCGACCAGAUAGAGACCCAUCCAGGAGACAAGUCGGGCGUCGACUGACCACAUCCCAACUACACCGCCGGAUUAGCCGUCGGGUCGUACGAGCGUACAUCAGGCAAACCAAUCCAGGACGGCGUGCAGAACGGAAUGCAAGGGCACGCGUAAUCAUCACCAGGCUAUUAAGACGGGACGACUCGAGGCCAUGCCGGUACGGAAGCCUCGAGUAGGUCAGCGCUCCAUACUGCUAUCGACUCCUAUUCUGAUGCAUAUACAUGUACCCUGGGUCUCUCCUUGGGACUAUAAAAGGAGGAACUCAGGAAUAGAACAAAAAAAACAAGACCACGCUCACACAUAAUAGAGCACGACACUUCACACCACGCUUGUAUUCACCCCUGUACAAGCACCUAGGUGCAAGAUAAUACAAACUCUCUCCCCCCCCCGCUGGACGUAGGGCCUUCUCUUGCCCGAACCAGGAUAAAUCUCUGUGUCUUUUUGCAUCACCAUCCGGGAAAGGGAGCACGCAUACAAAUUUACUCGUUGGUGUGACCCCCGGGGGGAAAACGCCGACAACAAGAUAAUAGCAAGACUUAAAGUUAUCUCAGCAAACCGUCUUUCUCCCCGGCAACGGCGCCAGAAAUGCAUGUUGAUAUUUGGUAACGCAAUAAGGAAAUGAUCCGCAAGCGCACGGAUAUCGGUGUGCAUUUCACCCGGGUGGUUAUCUAGAGUUAUCGUAUUUAUAUUUUUACCACUGGGAGAAAGGGUGCAUCUGACUAACCAAAUCUAUUGCUACUAUCCCUUUGGGCUACAAAGAAUGUUUCUCGAUGUGAGUGAGAAGACUGCAACCGUAGUCUCGUUCUAACCUUGGUAAGGAUGAUCUACUGUUCUAUUGGGGAAGCUUACGGAAUCUAGACACCACAAAGGAUGUUCGACCCGCACCUAUAAACCUACCCGUCCUGCUAACGAGAUGUGGGCUACAAAGGUAACUCGGAAAUGUCACGUUCCUCGCUACUACCACGGUCCAGCUAGUCAGGGGAUAUCUAUGAGUACCCUAGCCUAAACACCUUGUUUAUGCUAGCAAUGAUUACUCUAAUACUCAACCAGAAGAGAUUAAAGUAAACUCAUAAACCAAAGAACAAUAAAACAAGAACUUACUAGAAUUAGAAGUCGAAUUACUGAAGAAUCCUAGGAGCAAGCCUCGGGUUAGGAGACUUGAUCCCGCAGGUACAACUCGGAGUAGACACCGAUAGGCUGGGCUUCCUCCGAUCUACACCUCCACUCUAUCUCUCUCAAUCUAGUAGAAACUAGAAGAUCUAACUCUACUCACAUUGGAUGCUAAGCCUAAAAGAAAUUUUAUUUAGAGGAGAGGUAUUCCUUCGAGGGCUCCUCUCAACUCUAUGAAAAACUUGUCUCCUCCAGGGGCCAGGGGGUCUGGUUUUAUAGUCCCCUCAAGUGAACGUGAGCCAUUGGAUCAAACCGACAUUGAUUGGACGGUUAUCCUUGAUCCUUUAGGUCGGUGGAACAUCGUCCGUGAAAAGAGUCCUGAUCCAACUCCAAGUCAGGGCGGACGCCCAGGUCAACUGGGCGGGCGCCCAGUGCGUGGCCCCGUUCUACAGCUGCAAAGGGGCCGGAGCGGAGCGCUCCUAAAGCUGCCCCGCUGAUCCGUUUGUGCUAAAUGAGGUUUGGGGGUCGACCCGCUCCGUCCGUGCAACGAACCGUGGAUAUCCUUGGGUCGAACCUGUUGCCGUCGCAGUUGCUUGUCGCUAGCGCUGCACCAUUUGUUGCCUAGUGUGCGUGUGUGUGCAUGUGAGAUAGUAGUACCUCCUCCUACUUGGUACAUGCAGUUUACUAAUGCUGGUCGAUCAUUUAGCAAAGUAAAGAUACUGAGUUAUCUAAUAACAAAGAGCCAUAUGCAUACCCUAAAGCCUUAAGUAAAUAAUAUUUACUCGCAACUAACAUUCUCCAAACAAUUUGCAGAUAAACACAUAGACUGUAAAUUGCAAAUACUUAUAAUUAACCUAUCUUGUAAAUUCAAAGAUACAACAUUUUGAACUCUAAAACCAAGAAUAUUAAAUGACAUCUACAACCUGCUUAUGAAAAUUGCUAUCAGUUAUGUCCAGUGAGAUGCCAACACCAAAUGAAUAUGCUAUACUUUCAGUUGCAGGUUCCCAUGCACUUGUGGACAUGUAUUACCGAAGCUAUCUUUUUUUAGAUAAAAAGCGCUUAAGGUUACUCUGUUAUGUAAGAGAAUGAGGAAACUUCAUGAGAUAGGGUGAAAAUAAAGACAGUCAAACUAAGAACAUUGAUGAGUUCGUCUUUUGGACUAACUUAUAGUGGUAGAGCAGGAACUUUUGACUAGCAGGGCAAUUUACAAGAAACAUAAUGUUUAGAGAAAAUUCAAGAAAGUUUCAGAAAACCACUAUAGACAAAAAUGCAGCAGAGUUCAUCAGCAUGCAAAAAUGCAGUGUGGUCCUAAGAAUCUAGCGAGGCAGUGAAACCAAAGCUACAUUCAUCAGCAGAACCUGAGGACAUUUUGACAGGAUGGAUCACGCAUCAAUAUAAGAUAGGAACUCACAAGGACUAGCACCUUCUUCUCAUUCAAACAAGAACACUUCUUCCCAUUCAGGCAUAUGAUUUAGUACAGGUGAAAUGGGUCUCCCUUUACUAAAAUUUUAUACAGAUCAUCAGCAUCAUGUGUUUCUCCUCCAAUUGUUCCUAAAAUUAAAAAUUCCAAACCCAUGAGAAUCUGUUCCAAGUGUACCAAAAAAAAGGGCUACUAUGAGCCAACAAAGUCUAACAACUUCAAAAGAAAUCAGUCUGCAUCUUUUGAUUUGUAAAGCCUAUUUGCCAAUGGUUAAUUGGAAAACCAAAAGAAACUUGCAAUUGCACUGAACUUGCAACUGCAUUAAAUAGCUGGUUGCAGAAUCCUAAUAAUCAAACUUGAGAAUGCAUGCACAGACAAUGAACUACAGUGACUGAGUGGCACACAUCAAAUCUUUUAUAGUUAUAUAGAAUAGACAUAGACAUAGAUAUAGAUACAAAUAUAAUUAUAGAUAUAGAUAUAGAUAUUGAUACAAAUACAGAUACAUAUAUAGAUAUAUCCCUAAUUAAUAAUACGGAUAGAUAUAAAACUUAAACUAAUAAGACAAGCAGCCUACUAUACUAUAUUCUGGAAUGCAAAAGUGAGGCAUCAGCAUUUGACAUUCGACAAGCAACAUACUAUAUUUUGGAAUGCAAAAGUGAGGCAUCGACACUUGACAUUCAUGCACUGCUUGCUGCAUGUUCAUUACAAUGGCAUGGCAUGCAUAGGCAUUUCACAUUUAUUUUCACACCCUCUGAAUCAGUCUCGGUCGUAUCAUUUACUCCUAUAUCCCAAGCAAUUUGUGAGGCAGUCUAUUCUAUGUAGAAAUAUCUCCAAUUGAAUUCAUCUAUUGUUAUCCAUCGGAUCUCCUACAUAUAUCUAGGAGCCUACGAUCCAUCCAUAGUACCUCUUGUAGAAGUAGAAGUCCUGUUCCGUCCGCAUCCGACGGCGGCGCGUUGGUGUCCCGGCCUGAAAUCUCCCCGGCCGGCUAUCCAGCCUUUCUCUGAUCAGCCGCACAGCAGACGACGACGAACGACAUGGCCACCAAGAACAAGGCGGCGGCGCUGCUCCUCUGCUUCCUCUUCCUUGGCGAUACGGAUGGAGAAGGCAACUCGCCAGAUCCGCGACGGGCAGAAGAGACGAGUGGUACAUCCAGGGUAGGGUAAGGGAAGUGGUGGAGAAGGAGGAGGAGGACGGGGUGGCGGCGGCAGCGACGGCAAUGGCGGAGGAGGGUGGCAGCGGCGGUGAGCAGCUGCAGCUAUGAGGCGAGUCGCAGGGUCGACCCGAGGGUCACCGGGGGUCGAUAGGGUCACGACCCUUUUGCUCCUCUUCUGCUCUGGGUCGAUCCGAUUUGGUCCACUGGCUAAUUCCAGGUGCGGGUCGACUUCAGAAGUGGGUCGAACCGAACCCGUUGCAGCUAUACCCCGUUCGGCCUCCGCUUCCUUCCCGUGGCUUCUGGAGUCUUCUAGAUGGUAGAAAAUUGCGCGGUGCGUUGAUAUCUCUAUGUAAUACCAACAUGUGGGCCUUUCUUCCGUAUUUCCUGAUAACCCCCUGCAGAAAUAGACAAACACCAAAACUCGUGGAAUUCUAUCAGAUAAAACCCUAAGUCUGGGUGUUGAUUGCAUUUGGAUCCUUUUCUUUAUUUAUUUGAUGAUUAUAUUUGGUACUUAAGGACCGUCAACACAAUGUACCAUUAACAUAGUCACGAACUAGGUACUAAUUUGGACAAUGCUUCUAGUGAUGUCCCUCUUCGUGGCACUGGUAACAAACAUUGGUAACAAUUUUACCGUAGGUGCUAUCCUGAUGUUGAGCUCCUUGAAUUGAUGUGCCAGGAGUAACUAAAGUGCUACUAACUUGUUGGUUCUGAGGGUUCACCUUCAAUGGAGUCUCUGCACUUAUUCGCUUGUUAGUUUGCUUGCUCUUUCGAGGCUGAAAAUCUGUAUAGGUGAUGGUCCAUCCAUCUAGGCAUAUCUCUGGCAUAGCAAGUGUAGCUGAAGGGGCAUCUAACUCUUCAAGAUAUGAAUGUGUAUGAUGAGAGUUUGGGACUAACGGUAACUGCGAUGUAGAACUCAAAUUUGGCUCAACACUUAACAGUGGCUCUAGGGAGAUUGCCUUCCCUUUCUUGUUACCUUCAGUCUGUUGAUCCUGAUGUAUCUCAAUCUUUCCUUCGCCUGACUUGUUCUGAAUACAAGGCAAACCAUAACGUCUACAACAGUGACACGGCUCUUGAAUCCCAAGUACCUCAUUAAUACCAUCUUUCUUAGCUUUCAUGUUCUUCCAGGCUUCUACUACUUGUCGCUUCAUUGCUUCUUCGCGAGUUUCGGUCAUGUUCUUCUCUAAAUGUAACUAAGGAUCUUUUUGUGGUCUUACUCCACUUAGUACUUGAUCUAGUGUAAACAAGGGCUUCUCCUUGUUUACUAGGGACAAGGGUAGCAUAGUUGGGUCUUCCUAACAUUUGAUGUAAGCUUCUUCAAUGUCACCUUGGAGAAGUAGAGAUUGUACUAUCAACAGCUUCUGGAGUCUAGCCAUAUGAUGAGCUGCCAUCUCUAGGAUGUGAGCUUGCCAAGCUAUCACCUGUUCACUACUUAGUUGUGUUGUAGAAGGCAUUUGUUGACUCUAAUGAUAGGUUUUCUUUCCUUUGACAUCUUCACUUAUGUCAAUCAUCUGACAUUAGGUAAUAGUAGAAUGAUCUAGAGUAUUAUGGAUAAAGAGCAUGGCAUGAAGUGAGAGAAAAUAGUUGGAGAAGAUCAGGAGUGACAAAAGACAUGGAUAGGAUAAGAGAGAUCACUACCCCACUUAACAGAGAUCGAGCUAAUCCCUAAACGACUUCUUCCAGACCUCCUUCAAAACACUUGAAUAGAUACGACACACAAAACACAAACCAAGCAAGUCAAACACACAUCACAACAAUGAUACUACACAUGCUUCUUCAACAGUGGUGGUCAUCCUAAAAGGUAAGUCUGAGAUGAUGAAGGGCCAUCGAAUUUUGGAAUAAAUCAAGUUUUGAAAACUUAAGUAAAACAACUAAACAAGAGCCAAGGAGAUAAAUAGAAAUAGCUCAAAGGAAGCUAUUCAAGGAGGGGAUACAACAUGACAAGGAUGAAAAAUAGUCAGAAUAAAGAACUCAAGGGAUGAGAAAAUAGUUUUAUCUCAAAAUAAGCUUUUGAAAUUGACCAGUGCUAUAUAGGCAUACGUCCUACUGUCAACAUCGCUCUGAUACCAUUCCUGUCACACCUUGGUUUUCAAAAAACAAGACCAGAGUCAUCAUAUGUGUGCCCAGGAAGUCCACACAUACAACAAAAGAAUAGAAAUAUCGGAAACAAUGUUAUAUAUAUAGCGAAAACUAUAUCUAUAAUAACACUUACACCUAUCAGAGUACGUGGAAACAAUAGCUAAACUUCUUAGGCUUCAUUCUUCUCAAAGACGACUGACUGGGGGCUCCGUAUGCCAAGCACUUCUGACAAGCUUCUAGAAAACUCCAUAGCAUCUCUAUCCUUCUUCUGAGCAGCACUUUACUACACACUCGGGUGUGGGGGGAAUAGCAAGGGUGAGUUCAUGUCGAACUCAACAAGUACAGGCGGAAAGUAUAAUGACAUGCAAGGCUUAAUCAAAGGAAAAGUUGACACAAUUUAACUACAAGUGAGCCUUUUAAGUUGACAAACUUUUAUUAUAAUCUCUUUUAUUUAAACAACCUAUUACUAAAUAUGAGUAAAGCAUCCCAACCCUUAAUUAGAUGAAAGUACAUUAACAAUAUUAUUAGUCACCAUUAUAAUAAUUAUUAUUAAGAUCUCCGAGGUAACAACCUUGGAUAGUAACUCGGGGUAGCAACCCCAUUAAGGUCAUGGGAUAGCAAUCCCAAUUAAGAACACAGGAUAGCAAUCCUGCCAACACGGAAUAGCUAUUCUGCCAAAGCAUGUGGUAGCAACCUCAACCAAGUUCCGCCUCCAAGUUCCAUGUGAUUCCAAUUUGUUCAUCAUGUGAGAGUCUGGGGCGCUCGUGACCGUGAGCACGGCUUAUAUAUCAGUUUUACACUCUACAGAGGUAUGCACUUUCACUCCAAGUCGUGAUUCCCAUUUGCCCAGGGUCGCGACUCCCCAAAACACUACCAAGGUGAGCAGGCAGGGUUUCACUACGAGACCUUUCACAGGGUCCAACUAAUAGGAUGCCACUCGUAAGUUUUUGCCAGGGCACGCGGCAGCCAUGCCCAUAGCAAUGGGACUCCGAACUGACCGACCUCUUAAUAUGAAUACCCAAGCUACUUCCUUACGCCUACCCGGAAAGUAACACCCUACUAGUGGAGGUCCUGAUAAUUAGUCAAGCCAGAGCCAUAUGGCUUGGAGCUGCACUGUAUGUCCUAGGGGACCGCUCCAUGACUAAGUCCUUACGGAGAGCAGACACGGGUAUGCCUGGCAACUGGGCCAACCAACAGUACCCGCUCCCCCUUUUCUCAACAAACCAUGAUGCUCGCAAGCACCGCAACAUCUCCAUCACCGAAGUGACCAUUGUCCACCAUUGAAGCAUUAGUCAUCAUUGAAGAAUUCAUUAUACAAUAUUGUUACUUUUAUUAUUAUAUAGAUUAGAUGAGUAGAGCAGCUAAGCAUAUCUACUGUUCACCAAACUACCCAUGUAUAAAACCUAGGGGUACAAGGAAUACAAUACAAGGCUACUCAGGUGUUUAGGGUUUGCAGUAUUAAGACACAUGCAAUAAAAGUAAAUGCAUUUUAAGUUCAUAGGUACAAUAUGAUCAAAGGGUGCCUGCACUUACCUUUACUCCCAGUGUAUAUCUGCUCAGAAUUCUUUGGCUUCUAUCUUCUGAUUUUUAGCUUCUACUGCAACUGUCGGUCCUCAGCUCCUGGUCUUCGGUGCUAAUGAACCACGCUUCUUCUACUCAAAGCAAACAAGCAAUACAAACAGACAAACAAACAAUCAUGAUUAAGAACAAACGACAAUUAAAAAAAAGCUUUACAAGAGAGCGUAAUAAAUGACAUGGUUUAUUGCUACAAUCAUGACAACACAAGAACGAUUGAGAACGGAGCUAUAGUUAAUCGAACACGACUUUCGAGGCUUACAACAUAACGGAGAAGACAAACUAUACACUUGUGGUAUUUUAUUUGAUGAAAUAAGAUGAUAGACAUUUCAGAGAACUAUGCUAAUGUUGGACUAACCAAAUUAUAUUGAGUCAUAAAAGUCAAAGUUAAACUUUAGUCAUAUUUUAUUGAUAAAUAAUUAUAUACCAUGGAAGCCAAUUAAGCCUUUAUAGUUUUGAAAUAUAGAUUAUAUGAAAGCAACUAAUCGAGUGAUUAUAUAUCAUGUUUAAACUAAUCAAGUUAUAAUUAAUAAAGAAACAUUAAAGUUGAUAUUAAUAAUGUGAGCCUUUAUUUAUUUAUUUAUAAAAGAUCAAAAUUAUAAACAUAAUUUACUUUUAAUUCAAAAAGACUUUAAGUAAAUAUUACUAAAUUAUUUAUGUGCUUCAUGUUUAAAUAAUCAAAUUAUAAUUAAGAAGUAUUUAAGUUCACAUUUGAUUAUAAAGAUACCGAAGUGUAAUCCUAAGUUGUUUUUAAAUUAAUUAAACAGAAAUGCAUUCAAAACAUUAAUCACAUUAAUUAUACUCAUAAGCACGAGACAAUGAAAAUAGCAUUGCUAAUAUGUAGAUUACAUCGACAUUGUCACAACGCAACGAGAACCGAAUUACAACCCUAGAUUGUUUUCUAAUUUAAAAGCUAUUCAAUAAAUAUUAAUCAAUAUUUAAAUCAAUAAAUCCAAGAAUAAGUUACAUGAUAAAUAUUUAUACUAUUGUGUAGAGCGCGGCGAUACGAAACAAACGCAACCAGAACGAGAUUGAUCGAAGUUAAAACAUUUUGGAAAAACUAGGUCAAUGGCAAAACUGUGAAUUAACAGAACUAUUUUUUGUAUUUUAAAUAAUUAAAACUGAUUUUCAAAAGCAUUUUGGACUUAAUCUAUAAAUACCAAUGGAUCCAGGCGCUAGAUUGCAAAAAACAGGACUUAAAUCUAAUUAUUUCUAAACUACUCAGGACUGCGGGUUAAUUUAGAAAAACCACAGGGGCUUUUUGGCAAGAUAGCCAGGGGCGGCGUGCAUGGGGGGUGGUGGCCGGUGUGGCCAGCCACAUGGCGGCUCGGGACUGGCCGGUCUAUGGUGGACUGAGUGCGGGCGUGGGGGUGCACCAGUCCACGGUGGACCGGGCUGGUGCGCGGCGGCGCUGGGGGCCUGGCCAGCCGCGACGGCGCGGUGCGCGCGGGCCGCGGUGCCAUGGCCCGCGCCGGCGAGGUGGGAGCAGCGGCGCUACGGGGCACUACACGCCGCGGCGAGUGUACGGGCACUUAGCGCGCGAUGCGGCAAGCUCACUGCGUGCGGUGGCAGGGGCUAGAUGCGGCCGAGCGGCGCGGGCCACGUGGCGGUGCGUGAUGGUGGCGGCGGCUCUUCUCCAGCGAGCUCGUGUGCACAGAAGGAAGGGAGAGAGAUCAAUCCGAGAGCACCAACGCGUUCGUCCCACCUUCACGAGUUCAGAGAGCGUCUCACCUUGGCGGAUGAGGCAGCGGUGGGGCGAGCUCGUCGACGGCCGGCUUCGAGGACGGAGCGACGGGGCUUCAAGCUCGCUCUAGGGCUUCUUAGCGGCGUUUAGAGGUGACUAGGGUUGCUAGGGAGGCGUGCAGUGGCUGCAGGGUGCCCUUAUAUAGGUGGAGGCGAACCUCGAUUCGCGUGCGCACGGAAACCAGCGUGGUGGCGUCGUCCGCGUCCGAGUCGGGCGGGAGGUUAGGGGUGACCUCCCCCUGACAGGUGGGCCUUGCCUCUCGGUGGCAAAGCGUGGGCGCAAGGGGGCCGGGUGGAGCUGGGCCACGGGGCUGCACGCCAGCUGCGGGGGCACGAGAUGGGCCGCGGCCCACGCGGGCGGUGCGCGCGCGGAGGGGGAAAAGGUGGGGGGCUGGGCUGCAGGGUUGGGCCGAAAGAAAAGAGUGACGGCCCAAAUGAAAGGAAAAGCUUUUUUUUCUUUUUAUUCAAAAGGGUUUAAAUCAAAACUUUCAACACCUUUAUAAACCAAAAUUUGAUUUAUUAAUUGAAGAUUAUUUUAGGAAUUGUUGUGUUUACUACUUUUGGAAACAAAGCAUAUUUUCUUAAUAACACUUUUUUUAAAUUGUUUUUUAAACCCAAAUCAGAAAUAGUUUUCAAAUAGGACUUUUAGUGUUUUGUUUUAUUUUUUUCAAAAACCCAAAAGGGCCUAACUAUAGUUGCUUGAAGUUUAGAAAUUUAUUUUUCACACACGAGCUAAAGAAAGCUAGGGCACAAAACUCAAAACAAAAAACCAACACUCCUCACUUUACUUUAUAAAAGUUUUAAAAUUCCAAAUUUUUCUCUCUUUUUGAAUUCAAUAAUUAAAUAAAUCUUGGAAUAUUUUAGAAAAAAUUUAAAUCCUUAUUUAAUUUAGUGUUUUCUAAUAACAUUCCAAAAUUAAAAAUUUUGAAGUGUUAUACCCCCCAGCUCUUCGGGUGUCUUCUAGAGUCUUCCCAUGUCCCGUUAGCGGUGUUAUUGCGUCGGGAUAAGUUUCGUGUUUAUUUUGCACUUAAUCUCUCUUUUCAGCUCUUUCUGAAAUAAUCCCUGAAAAACACAGAAUAUGCAAAACUCGUGGAAAUUGUCAGUGAUAACCCUAUUCUAGUAGAUAUUCAUAUCUGGUGGAGAAAUAAAUACUAACAAAUUUUGUGAGUUAAGAGGUGUCUAUAAUUACCCCCACACUUAGGCUUUUACUCGUCCCGAGAAAAAGGUUGGUGUUGACACCUGUUAACUUACAAAAUUUGUUAGCAUUUAUUUCUCCACCAGAUAUGAAUAUCUACUAGAUUAGGGUUAUCACUGACAAUUUCCACAAGUUUUGUAUAUUCUAUGUUUUUUAGAGAUUAUUUCAGAAAGAGUUGAAAAGAUGGAUUUAAGUGCUAAUCAACCACGAAACUUAUCCACGAUGGAAGGAUGACACCAGAGGGAUUAGGAAUACUCCAGAAGACACCCGACACAACAGGGGGGCUGGCAGCUGCUAGGUGGGGCCGGCCAGUGCCCCCUAUUAGAGUUUUGGUCCCCCUUCCAGAACCUUUCUCCACUGCCUCUGAGGAGCCAUCUCGACUGCUCGUUAAGUCGGUUUCAUCCAACGACGCGUAUCCAUCCCACCAGGCUAUAAAUAUAAGGCUAGACCACCCCUAGAGGAGGCUAGAUCAAGAGGUGAAGAGUCAGAGCAUUAGAUAGAGAUCCACUAUAUCCAGGCUAGCAAUAAAGAUAGAGAUUAGAGAGAUAAAGUAGAGGAGUAGAGAUUCGGAGGAGUCCUGGCCUGUCGAGCUUCCUCAGAAGCUGUAUUCGUUUGGAUUCGGCUCCCUCGUCUGGAGCUGCAUUUUGAGGUAUUUUGUAUUUACCAUUCUAAUUCAAGUAAGCAACUUGUUUUUAUUUGUUCUUUGGUUUGUAACUCAUACUAUAUUGAGUAAUACGAUUUGGGUAGCUCCUAGGUCGCUGUAGUGAUUCGUAGCAUAGACGUGGUGUGUGGGCUAUGGUUGCUUGUGAAUGUCCCCUGAUCAGCUGGACAGUGGUAGCUCACGUAGAUGACUUUAUAGCUAAGUUGAUUCUUCUGUAGUCCACUUCCCGUUGAUAGGAUCGAUAGGCUUAUAGGUGCCUAAUAGGAGAUUACUUUGUUUCUUCUCCUAUUCAGGUUACUUGCCCGAUAAGACGAUAUUAUAUAAAGUUUACCGGUUAUUAGAACCAGAGUACAUUAGCUAUUUCCUCAUUCUUAAUAGUUUUCUAGAUUGAUUGUACCCCCCUUAGAUCAAGACUUAUAGACUAAGUCAUAAAUCACCUUCUGUUCCUUUGGGUUCGAUAUUAAAACUGACUUGAUCUUGGUGAAAUGCUGACCAGUAUAUAUCUGUGCGCUUGCAGAUAAUCUGAUUAUAAUCAUUAUUAGGGUGCAGUUAAUUUAUACCAACAAGUAUUUCUGGCACCGUUGCCAGGGAACGGUUCGCUGAUUUUGACAUUAGUCUAUCUUAGUCUAUAGUUAUCCUUUUAAAAAAAUAUUAUAAUAAUAUAUAUAUAAUGGAAAUUGAAUCUCAACUUUUAUAUCAAUAUGGAUGAAAUCCCUAGUUUGGUUUUGGAUAAUUGAUAAAAUCUAUGUGUACUAACCUUUGUCAUGAGUAAAAUACAAAGAUAGGUUGGUACACACCAAGUGAUGGAGCUAGAUGAUGGUUAUGGUGAUGGAGGUGACCAAAAGAUGAUAUUCAAGUGCUCCAACUUGAAAUAAAAGAAAGAGAAAAAUAAAAUAGGCUCAAGGCAAAGGUAUUUUUAAUAGGGCCAUUUUGUUUUGCCACUCAAGACACCAAGUGGGUGUGAGUGGAUUUAGGAUAGAUAACCGUACUAUAAAGAGGGGAAAUCUUUAAUUGCAAUGGUUAUUUAGUGCCACUAAGUGUGAGUCUCAUUUGUAUAUACUAAAUACGCUUAGUGACGUGGUGAGAUGCAUGAGAAUUAACCCUAAAAAUAUUUAUGAAAAGCUAACUUAAUUGCCCAUCUUAUUUUUCAUAUAUAUGGGUGAAGUUAGCACCUAAAUAGGGAUGGAAAAAUAAAAGUGCGAGCUGCUGACUGAAUUUCCGGUUGACUCGGAAACAUUUCCAGCCGAACGUCCUCUAUUUGGGAGCAGCUUCUUGCUAUAUUUAUUGUGCUAGACAGAGAGCAUGUCCUUGGAAUUAUAUGCUGCUCGAACUGGAAUUUCACUUACAUGUUGUUGUGUGCGUGGAGCUAUUUUUGGGCGAGUGCAUGCAGAUGCUGUUGGCCAGGAAGUGAGCAUCGUGGAAGCUUCCUGCUUUUGGCAUUUGCAUGCAUCCAUUUGACUUCGUGAAAGAGAGUUGUUGAUAUUUGGAAACACAAUAAGGAAUUGAUCCGCAAGCGUACGGAUAUCGGUGAGCACUUCACCCGGGAGGUUAUCUAGAGUAUCAUAUUUAUUUUUUUUACCACUAGAAGAAAGAGUGCACCUGACUAACCCGGUCUAUUACUACUAACCCUUUAGGCAACAAAGAAUGUUUCUCGAUGUGAGUGAUACAUAGAGAAGACUACAACCGUAAUCUCCUUCUAACCUUGGUAAGGAUGAUCUACUGUUCUAUUGGGGAGGCUAACGGAAUCUAGACAGCACAGAGGAUGUUCAACCCGCACCUAUAAACCCUAUCCUUCCUGCUAACGAGAUAUGGUCUGCAAAGGUAACUCGGAAAUGUCACGUUCCUCGCUACUACCACGGUCCAGCUAGUCAGGGAAUAUCCAUGAGUAUCCUAGCCCAAACACCACGUCUACGCUAGAGAUGAUUACUCUAAACUCUACGCGAAGAGAUUAAAGUAAACUCAUAAACCAAAGAACAAUAAAACAAGAACUUACUAGAAUUUAGAAGUCAAAAUACUAAAGAAUCCUAGGAGCAAGCCUCGGGUUAAGAGAAAUUGAUCCCGCAGGUACAAGCUCGGAGUAGACACCGACAGGCCGGGCUUCCUCCGAUCUACACCUCCACUCUAUCUCUCUCAAUCUAGUAGAAACUAGAAGAUCUAUUUCUACUCACAUUGGUUGCUAAGCCUAAAAAGAAAUUUUAUUUAGAGAAGUGGUUUUCCUUCGAGGGCUCCCGUCAACUCUAUGAUAAACUUGUCUCCUCCAGGGGACAGGGGGUCUGGUUUUAUAGUCCUCUCAAGUGAACGUGAGCCAUUGGAUCAAACCGACAUUGAUUGGACAGUUAUCCUUGAUCCUUUAGGUCGGUGGAACGUCGUGUGCGAAAAGAGUCCUGAUUGGCAUGCAACAGAGGGCGGGCGCCCAGGUCCUUAGGGCGGGCGCCCUGGGCCUGGCCCCUUUCGGCCUUCGCUUUCUUCCCGUGGCUUCUCGAGUCUUCUAGAUGGUAGAAAAUUGCGCGGUGCGUUGAUAUCUCUAUGUAAUCCCGACAUGUGGGCCUUUCUUCCUUAUUUCCCGAUAACUCCCUACAGAAACAGAUAAACAACAAAACUCGUGGAAUUCUGUCAGAUCAAACCCUAAUUCUAGGUGUUGUUUGUAUAUUGGUCCUUUCUCUUAUCUAUUUGAUAAUUAAAAUUGAUACUUAAAAACCGUCAACAAAUACCCCCAUACUUAGGCUUUUACUUGUCCUCGAGAAAAGGAUGGUUAAGAACAAUAUCUAGGGUAAAACAUUUUAAAACUUUCUUUUCAUAACUGCAGGGUGUUAAAAUCCACUGUGUACUGUAGUCAGGGAAGUAUAUGGUUAAGAGUAGAGAUCCUUUCUUCUCAAUCAUGUCACUUGGAGUUUUUGUAUAUUUUUGAAAGAAAGUUAGCAUACCUUUUAUCCUCAUAGGUCUUCUCAGAUCACUCAUUAUCUUUUAUAUAUCUCACUGAGGCUGUUUUAAUUUGCAAAAAUUCUCAAGCAUACUUACUUUGUAUUUAUUGCCUGAUCAAAACGGGAUCCGAGGAGGGGAAUGUCAUACUCUUAGAUCAAAGACUUUGAAAAUUAAAAACUUGUCAACUCUUGCUGGCAUAUUGCUUAUUAGAGGGACCAUGGGCUAUCAUUUUCUUCUUUUCUCUCUUUUUUUAAGUGGAUACCGAGGUACCCCUAAUUCUACUGCCGAACACUUGUCCAUUUUUUUUCUGCGAGGUUAUCGAGCACUUGCUCCUUUUUAUUUCCUCGAAAUAUCUUUAUUUUUGCAUAGCCCAUGCCUCUAAUGCAAUCAUACUUCGGAAGAGUGAAUCUUUCUGAAUAAAUGUCUUGAUCUUAGGAGCAUGAUAAAUCUCUCAACAAGGGUCUAACUCAUUUUGAACAAACUCAAUACAGAGUAGAUAGCUUUUAUAAUCAUAAUUAAUAUUUUCAGUUUUAGUAGGCAUAUAAAACACUGAGGAUGGUAGCUAGAAUUUUGAAGAUUUUGAAAUAAAUUCUCCAAGCAACAAUGAUAUCAAGAAUAAGAAACUCAUACUCUACCAUCUCACAUUCCACACUAACUUAAGCAACAUAGGGUUUUAAAAUGAUUUUCAAUAAUUGCGAGUUUUAGGAAAUAUCACAGAGUGAGAUUAAUCAUAUUUAGAAACAUUUUAGUCUUUAUCAUGUUGGAAACAAUAUUCUGCAUAAUCCAAGAUAUGUGUAUGUGUAAAGUGUGCAGAGUGUGUACCUGAAUCGUGGAGUGGUGUAGUCGAAGUGUGUUUGGCAUGUCGAGGGAUCUCCCCCAUACUUGUUUUCUGCUUUCUUGCACAAAAAUAAAGUAGAGACACACAAGACAUAAUAAUAAUAAUACUCUUUAUUAAUCUUGAGGCAUUUAUUACAAAUAACUAGUAGCAAACUGACGAUAAUAGUAAACCUAAACCAAAUUUAAAGAUAGAUAACUAAGAUGCAUUGCCUCAAGGUCUAACCUAGAUAACUCAGCGGCGCUCUAACUCCUUAAUCUUCUUAUUGGCACUGGCAAGAUCCUGCCUAAUAACAGUGUUGUGGUUAGAGAGCUGCCUAGUGAGGGAAUUAACUGAGGACUGGAGGUCUAUGAUGACUCUGUCUAGCCUGCGAACGUCCUCAUCAAUAUCUACUAUAGUCUUGCGACGCUUGGGAGGUCUUUCAAAAGCAUUGAGAGCAUGCUUCGGGGCUGCCUUUGGAGGGAUGAAACGGACUUUGGCUGCUCUAAUCCCAUCGAAGUAAGGCCUUUCCUCCUUCGUAGUGUCGAGAAUGCUGCUGAUCUCGCUGCUCCGGUUGGUCUUGACUCCAACGACCCUCUCAUUGGGUCUAGGUGGAAGGAUCCUUGUGCCGGUUGGCACCUUGAUGGUGGUCUUCGUCUUGGAUGAUGAUCCCUUGAGGAGUAGGGGUUGUGGCGGUGCGGUGAGAACUGGUUGAGCAUGAUAGGAUUGGGCGGAGCUGCGUUGGCGUAAUGGCAUGGCUUCUAGCUGUCGCUCUGAGUUGGCCGGGAUGAGAGCACGGGCGUCGGGGUCUUCCACAGGCUUCAUGUUGAGGUUGAAGGGGACGACUUCCCAAUCAUCGUGGAACUUCUCGGCCAUUGGAGCUGCGAGGGACUAAACAAGCUCUAAUUGAAGAAGAAGAGAAGGCUGAAAGCCCUAGUUUGGUUUUGGAUAAUUGAUGAAACCCUAGUACUAACCUCUAUGCUAUGUGUGUGUAGACUUAAUGAGGUUGGUACAUGCCAAGUGAUGGAGCAAGUGAUGAUCAUGGUGAUGUUGUUGAUGACCACAAGAUGAUCAAUUUCUCAACUUGGAAAAGAAGAAAGAGAAAAACAAAACCCAAUGGAGAUCAAGGCAAAGGUAUUGCUUAGGGUUUUGGUUUUGGUGAUCAAGACACCAUAGAGGGUGUGAUCACAUUUAGGAUAGAUAGCCGUACUAUAAAGAGGGGAAUUCUUUGGCUAAGCGGUUAUCAAGUGCCACUAGGUGUCAUUGUUCAUGUGCAUGCAUUUAGAACCUAGUGAGCUAACUUAACUCCUUCAAAGAAAUUGUUUGUGAAAAUGCUAACACACGUGCACUUGUUGGUAUACACAUUGUGGUGUUGGCACACUUUGAGAAGGAGGUGGAGUUUGAAGGGUAGAGAGAGGAUAUGUGUUAAAGAGGGGAAUUCUUUGGCUAAGCGGUUAUCAAGUCGGCGCUUUUGAGAAAAUGAAGUGCAUAUUUUCUAUUGCGCCGGUGGAAAUUUGGAGAAGUCGAGGGAGUGUUUUCUCUCUGAGAAACUCUCACGGGACGCUGAGUGUGGAGGCACCGGAUGCUGGCCUCAGAGUCCGGGGUGCUUGACCCUGCUAGGGUUGAGCACCGGACGCACUCUGAGAGCGUCCGGUGGUUAGCGUCCGGUGUGAGGGCGUUUUGCAACCCUCUAUACGCAUGAGUCCGGUGAGCACCGGACGCUCAGGGUGCGUCCGGUGGCUUGCGUCCGGUGACCGUGCGAGUUUGCGGAGCUCUCUGCGCAUGGGUCCGGUGUGCACCGGACGCGUCCGGUGGUAUCUUGCUCAGCGUCCGGUGCUCUGUAGGUUACCGUUAGAUUCUAACACGUGGCUGACGUUGGAGCACCGGACGCAGGUGUUGAGCAUCUGGUGCCCCUUUAAGAGCGUCCGGUGACCCCGAGUUAGACCCAGUGAGAGAGCCAACGGCUCUAUUUGUUUGAGGGGUCUAUAAAUAGUUGUUGGUCGGCUUAGGGCUUACUCUCUUGGCAUUCUUGACUACUAGACAUCCUUGUGAGCCUAAGCAAACACCUCCCACUCAUCUCCUUCAUAGAUUAAACAUCUUUGUGAGAUUGAGAGUGAUUCCAAGUGCAUUUGCUUGAGUGAUUGCAUCUAGUGGCACUUGGGGAUCGUUCUAGCUACGGUUUUUCUUGUUACUCUUGGUGGUUGCCGCCACCUAGAUGGCUUGGAGCAGCGGAGGAGGAUUGGCACGAGUUGGUGAUUGUUCGUGGCCAUCUCCCGGUGAUUGUGAGGGGUCUUGUACCUUCCCCGGCGGAGAGCCGAAAGGUAACUCUAUUGGAUUGCUCGUGUCAUUGAGAUACCUCACUUGUGGGUAGGUUCUUGUGGUGUCCUAGUGAGGACGAGGUUCGUGCUACACCUCUUAGCCAUUGAACCACCAAGUGUUGGUCGACACAACGGGGACGUAGCGUGCCGGCAAGCACGUGAACCUCAGGAGAAAAAUUGUGUGUCUCCAUUGUGAUUGUUCAUUGGAUUUCUCCCGGUGAUUGGACUUCAUAUUAUUGAUUGGUUCAUCCCCUCUACGCGGCGGUAUAAAGUUCAAACCAUCUCUUUUACAUUCCCGCAAACUAGAGUAGCUUACUUACUUGUAUAGAAACUUUAAGUAGCCUUCUACUGUAAGUAGUGACAUAGCUCUUGUGUGCCUAGUGAUUAUAUCAACUAGAAUUGUUGGAUAGGUGGCUUGCAAACACCCCAUUAGAGCUAGAGCAAAAAGCUUCGCUUUGUUAUUUACUAACCUCUUGCUCUAGUGAGUUUGUAGAAUUUUUAAAUAGGCUAUUCACCCCCCUCUAGCCAUAUUAGGACCUUUCAAAGGCUUGGUGGAUUGGUGUUUGAAAACUGAUGUCAGGGGUCUGUUUAUAUAGGGGUCAAAAAGUGCCUUUAGGGGUUGUUCUGGUUGCUCCCGUCGAUGUGCGUGAGAAACUUUCCUUCUGAGGGAUUAUUCGGAUUACCAUAAGUGCAUUUUCCAUAACAGAGAAAAUCGGGACCGAGGGGGAACAGGAGCUGGGCACCAGCCCACUUGAUCAGGGCGCCCGCCCUCUCUCUGUCUCUUCUAUGGGCCCACUUCCUCGAGCGUGUUUCUAGAUGCAGACUUAAUUAGGAAUAUAUAUAUAUGACCCAAAAACGUCAGACUAAAAAGGUCGGGCUCUAAUUCUCCAUGGGAAGAAAAAAAUGGAUUACGUCUAUUUCUUCUAAUUCUUUAUUGGGCUCUAAAAACAAUUUAAGACGUUGACCAUUUACCUUGAAUAACGUACCUUCGUCAUUUUGAAGUGUGAUAGCUCCGUGGGAUGAUGAAUUAAUUACCUUGAAUGGUCCUUCCCAUUUGCUCUGGAGUUUUCCAUGCCCGAAAAGCUUCACCCUGGAAUUAAAAAGUAACACCUUAUCUCCGGGUGUGAACUCCUUCUUGAUUCUCUUGUCAUGCCACCUUUUGACUCUUUCUUUGUAGAUCUUCGAAUUGUGAUAUGAUUUCUCUUGCCAUUCUUCCAAUUCUGAUAGUUGCAUUCUUCUAUGAUCUCCAGCAACAUCUUGGUCCAUAUUCCAUCUCUUUAUGGCCCAGUGUGCUUUGAACUCUAGUUCAAUAGGUAGGUGGCAAGUCUUCCCGUACACCAAUUGGUAUGGAGACAUUCCAAUUGGGGUCUUGUAUGCUGUCCGGUAUGCCCAGAGUGCAUCGGGUAACUUGUCCUUCCACGCCGUUCCCAUUUCAUUUACUGUCUUCUAAAGAAUAUUCUUGAUUUGCUUGCUGGAAGUCUCUGCUUGGCCACUUGUCUGAGGAUGGUAGGGGGUAGCGAUGUUAUGAUGGAUUCCAUGUUUUGAUAGAUAUUGCUUGAAGCGUUUAUCGAUGAAGUGUGCUCCUCCAUCACUUAUCACUACUCUUGGGACUCCAAAUCUUGGAAAUAUAAUUUCUUCAAACAUCCUCUUUGAACUGAUGUUGUCGGCAUGCUUGCAAGGUAAUGCCUCUACCCACUUGGAGACGUAGUCAACUGCCACCAAGAUGUACUCACACUUCUUUGAUGGAGGAAAUGGACCCAUAUAGUCUAUUCCCCAGACAUCAAAGAGCUCAAUCUGAAGGUUGUUGGUGAGUGGCAUUGCAUCCCUUGUAUUUAUGUUUCCGUGCCUUUGACAUGGCCCACAUCUUCUGAUAUAUUGCUUCGUGUCUUCAUACAUUGUAGGCCAGUAGAAUCCACACUGCCAGAUCUUUGAAUGUGUACGGAAUGCUCCGUAAUGACCUCCAUAUGGUGAUGAAUGACAUCUGUCGAUGAUCUUCCAUCCUUCCUCAGUGGUCACACAUCUUCUGAGUAAGCCAUCAGAGCAUACUCGAAAGAGGUAUGGCUCAUCCCAUAUAUGUGAACGACUUUCUUGAAUAAGCUUCUUCUUGUUUGCUCCUGGCGGUACAUACCCUGAAACCAUAAAAUUAACAAUAUCUGCAUACCAGGGGUCAGACCUGUUAAUCCCGUAGAGCAUGUCGUCCCGGAGUGAAUCAUUGAUGGGGGUUUCCUGUGGAUUGUUAAAAUACAUUCUAGACAAGUGAUCAGCAACAAAAUUUUCUACUCCCUUUUUAUCUUUUAUUUCUAAGUCAAAUUCUUGAAGUAAUAAGAUCCAUCGAAUCAGGCGAGGUUUAGCAUCUUUUUUAGUGAGCAAAUAUUUUAGUGCAGUAUGAUCAGUGUAAACAAUUAUUUUAGCUCCAACUAAAUAAGAUCUAAAUUUAUCAAUGGCAAAGACAACAGCCAGAAGCUCUUUUUCAGUGGUUGCAUAGUUAAGUUGAGCUCCUGUCAAAGUUUUACUGGCAUAAGCAAUUGCAUGAUGCUUCUUAUUUUUAGUUUGUCCCAAAACUGCCCCCACAGCAUAAUCACUAGCAUCACACAUAAUUUCAAAAGGCAAUGACCAAUCAGGGGGUUGAAUGAUUGGUGCAGAGAUGAGUGCUUUCUUUCAUAAAUUGAAAGAUGUUAGACAUGCAUCAUCAAAUUCGAAAGGAGCAUCCUUGGCUAGCAAAAGAGUAAGUGGUCUAGCAAUAAAUGAAAAAUCUUUUAUAAAUCUACGAUAAAAACCAGCAUGGCCAAGAAAGCUUCGAAUUCCUUUUAUAUUCACAGGUGCAGGUAGUUGUUCAAUUACUUCAAUUUUAGGUUUGUCUACCUCAAUACCUCUUUCAGACGCUAAGUGUCCCAACACUAUUCCUUCCCUAACCAUGAAAUGACAUUUUCCCAAUUAAGGACUAAGUGCUUUUCUUCACAUCUUUGCAAAACCUUGUCUAAGUUUUCAAGACAACUAUAAAAAGUUUUUCCAUAAACAGAGAAAUCAUCCAUGAAAACUUCCAUAAUCUCUUCAAUCAUAUCAGAAAAUAUAGACAUCAUGCAUCUUUGAAAAGAAGCUGGUGCAUUACAUAACCCAAAAGACAUUCUUCGGUAAGCAUAAGUUCCAUAUGGGCAUGUAAAAGUGGUUUUGCUUUGAUCAUCGGGAUGGAUCGGGAUUUGGUGAUACCCUGAAUAUCCAUCUAAGAAACAAAAGAACGAAUGGUUUGCUAACCGCUCUAGCAUCUCAUCUAUGAAAGGUAAAGGAAAAUGAUCCUUUCUCGUGGCUUUGUUUAGUUUUCUAUAUUCUAUGCACAUCCGCCAUCCUGUGACGGUGCGUUGCGGAAUUAGCUCGUUCUUUUCAUUCAUAAUAACAGUCAUGCCUCCCUUUUUAGGCACAACUUGAACUAGGCUCACCCACUCACUAUGCGGCACAGGAUAUAUAAUCCCUGCAUGCAGCAACUUGAUAACUUCCUUUUUAACUACCUCUCUCAUAGUGUUGUUAAGUCUACGUUGGGGUUCUCGAGAAGGUGAAACAGAAGGAUCUGUUGGAAUACGAUGGGUACAAAUCAUAGGACUGAUUCCUGUAUGAUCUUGGAGUGAGUAGCCAAAAACUAAGUGAUGUUUCUCAAGAAUGGUCAUCAAUCGCAGAGUUUGCUCCUGAGUGAGUUUAUCACUAAUGAUCACAGGAAACUCUGGAUUGCUUAGAUAAGACCGGGUGGUAAAGUUUUAAGCUCUAUGGGAGGUCUAGGUGUUUCUGCAAACUCAUCUAAGGGUUCAGGUUCAGAAGGUUCGGCCUCUUCUUCUAUGAAGAAAGGAGUUUCAUCUUCUAAGUCUGAUUCAUCUAAAAGCUUAAGAGAUGCAGCCUUUACCUCCUCCAUAGGAUCAGGAAAAAGAUAUGACUCGGCCUUAUUAUUUAAGGAGUGUGAAAUUGUUAUUGGAAAUUUAAAGGCUUUUCCAAAAGAAAUGUGUAGCUUUCUAGUAUGACCUUCAUAAAGGAGUCUUCUAAAAGGUUGUCCUAUCAAUAGGUCGAAGUCCCAUGUAUCAAAGAUAUAGAAGUUCAAAUGAACCAUGGAGCCUUCUACCGUAAGAGGUAGGACAUUAAUAAUUCCAAGACUGGGGACUAAUCGUCCCGACGAUUCCUUUAUGACCUUUGUUGUGGGGGUUAAGAACAAGUUUUUAAAUAGUUUAAGUGCAAAAGAUUCAGACAUGAUGUUGAUCCCCACAACAGGAUUAUAGGGAGCAUCAAAUCGAUCAGAAUUAUAAGCACAGUGUAUAGUUGUAGAGGGUGUGUUCAAAUGGAUCACAUCAGAGGAAAGCUCUGAUUCCUCCAACCACUCGCUACUCAUGACUGAGAUAAGCUCUCUUAAUUGAUAUUUACUUGGUAAAUAAAUGCUAAACUGGCCGUUUUGGGGUUUGUCAAUAGAAUGGUAGUUUGAAAUGUUUCCAAAAUCGGCAAAAAGAUCGGAUUCUAUAUCCCGCAUGAAGUCCGAUGGUGGAAUUUCUUCCUUUUGUGGCUCAGAACUUGGGAUAGCUAAAGUAGAUGAAGAAUUUGGUAGAGUGUCUACUUCAGCUUCGUAGGUUUCAUCAUGAAGGGUAUUAUCCAUCUCAACUUCUAGGAUUCUAUCUAGGAUCACUCUAGCUUCAUCGGUAGGGAUGCGAAAGAAAGAACCUCUAGACAUUGUGUGUAGCAUUUGUUUGUGAUUUUUCUGAAGACCUCGAAAAAAGUGAAAUAAAAGAAUAGGGUCUUCAAGAUUAAGGUUUGGACCAGAUUCUAAAAGAUCAGAAAAAACAUUUCUAAGAUUUUCCCAAAGUUUCAUUAUCUUUUUGUUUAAAAGAUAGGACUUCGAGUCUAAGGUCGCCGAUACGGUCGAGGGAAUAGAAAUCUAGACAAAAGUUGGCUCUUAAAACUCCCCAUUCACCUCGUUGUUGACUUACCUUCUGACUAUACCAUUGUCUAGCUUCUCCCCUUAAGGAAAAAGGAAAAAGCUUCCAACAUAAAGUUUUAUCAGAAAUGCCGUCAAUGCGAAGACAAUCACAUGUCUGCUCAAAAUCUCUAAUAUGAAGGUAAGGGUUUUCGUCUUCCUUUCCCGAAAAAGAUAGGUUUUGAAUCAUGGCAAUCAACCUAGAACUUAACCUAUACUGGGAUGUUUGGAUAGGCUGUGAUGACUCCCAUGGUAAAAGGUCAGUUUCCGAAGGUGUUGCAAAUUGGUAGAUUGAUUUAGAAUCUUGGUUUUCCAUAAGGUAAGAGUAAAGAAAAUAAAUACAGAAUAUAAAAGAUAAGAAAAGAUAAAAGUAUAGAUACAAGCUAGUAAUAAGACUCAAGGUUAUCUCAGCAAACCGUCUUUCUCCCCGGCAACGGCGCUAGAAAUGCUUGUUGAUAUUUGGGAACGCAAUAAGGAAUUGAUCCGCAAGCGCACGGAUAUCGGUGAGCACUUCACCCGGGAGGUUAUCCAGAGUAUCGUAUUUAUUUUUUUACCACUAGGAGAAAGAGUGCAUCUGACUAACCCAGUCUAUUACUACUAACCCUUUAGGCAACAAAGAAUGUUUCUUGAUGUGAGUGAUAAAUAGAGAAGACUACAACCGUAAUCUCCUUCUAACCUUGGUAAGGAUGAUCUAUUGUUCUAUUGGGGAGGCUAACGGAAUCUAGACAGCACAGAGGAUGUUCAACCCGCACCUAUAAACCCUAUCCUUCCUGCUAAUGAGAUAUGGUCUGCAAAGGUAACUCGCAAAUGUCACGUUUCUCGCUACUACCACGGUCCAGCUAGUUAGGGAAUAUCUAUGAGUAUCCUAGCCCAAACACCACGUCUAAGCUAGAGAUGAUUACUCUAAACUCUACGCGAAGAGAUUAAAGUAAACUCAUAAACCAAAGAACAAUAAAACAAGAACUUACUAGAAUUUAGAAGUCGAAAUACUGAAGAAUCCUAGGAGCAAGCCUCAGGUUAGGAGAACUUGAUCCCGCAGGUACAAGCUCGGAGUAGACACCGACAGGCCGGGCUUCCUCCGAUCUACACCUCCACUCUGUUGAUGCAAAAGCUGACCUGCAAACACAAAGGGCUAAUACCCGAUUUAAACGUUAAGGCGUGCCAGCCGAUUUGACCUUACUAUCGGCAAAGGUGAUAACUUGAAUACUUUGGUCCCGACAACAGCGAUGCGCCCGGAUGCCACGGCCAAGAGGUAUUCACGCGAAACUUGAGAAUACGCCGAGCUUAAGUCGACGAACUCCUAAGAACUCGUAAUAAAAAGGAAAAUAUGACGAAGUCGUCGAAAAAGUAGAUGCUAGAAUAUGAGUAGAAACUUGUGUUUGAUUGAUUGAUAGAUGUCUGUAUUACAAUGCCCUAGGGUCUUCAUUUAUACCCUGCUCAAAGAGCUACAACCAGACACGACUAGAACUCGAAUUCCAAACAGAUUCCGUGUACAAAGCGAUUUAAAUAACUAAGGAAAUCAUAAAACAAUCCUUUCGUGACAAACUAGGAUACCUCCACUAGUCGACCGGCAACCUCCACGCUUUUCUUCCGCAUCAUCGGCAGACCCCCUUAUCACAGCUAUCGACACCAACUAACACCGACCAUCGGCACAAACACAUCACCACCUAUGAACUUAGUCAUAUUCAGCAACCCCUUCAUCGGCAACCAUCCUCGUCGGCAGCUUCUUCCGCAGAUCAAGUACUGCCACCGCAUCUUGCCGACCUAUACUCUACCAAUCCUGGAUACGUGUCCAAAAACGGUGUCAACACAUGCCCCCCAAUUUCGGAGUAUGAAAUCAUUAAUGCUCCGGAAUUCUCUAUAGUAAUGAUGCCUUUCCCCAAUUAAUGCUCCCAAUUUGGUAACCGACAACCUCAAUCUGAACAACUCUGAUCCUAUUUCUCCGCAUAUUCCUCGAAAUCCUCAACUUCCUAAAUGGAUAUCUCCACUUCAAUCGUUCAUCGGCAAUGUUACCGUUACAGAAAGCUGCCGAUGGGCUGACCAGGAUAUCCCAUACAGCGACGUGCCUUAUCCUCUCCAACGGACAUCUCCACGUUAUUCGUCCAUGGACAAUAUUACCGUUACAAGGCGCUGCCAAUGGACCGACCGAGAGAUCUCGCACAGUGAAAUAUCUCUGGAUAAUGACCGCUUCCUGUCAAAUCACCUGCGCAAUCCCUUGAUUACCGUGAGAACAAUUACCAUAUCUACCUGAAUACCCUCGGAUUUCACGGAUACGGCGAAGAGAUAAGUCAGAUUUGCCCUUGCCUGUUUUGUCCUAUAAAUAGUUCCUUCUCGGGUACUCCUUCCCCAUCACACCAUUCUACAGCUCCAACUUCACUUUCCCGGCGGCGGCACUGUUCGAGAACUCCAAGAUCUCAACGAAGCCCCUUCUUCACCAACUCCGAAGCCUUCGAUCAUCCUCCUCGCGAAGAGAUGGCCAUCAACUUCAUCAUCCCUGAGGUUAGUUCUUCAUUCCACCUUGUGUAUUUUUCCCGCAUCCCUGUUCAUCCGCAAUUUAUUUUACUGAACAUUUUUCUUUUUCUUUCUUUGUUCUUCUUUUACCUUCAAAACCAUUAGGAUUUGUCCAAUAACAUCGUCAUCCCUACCGAUCAACCACAUCUCCAAUGUCUCGGUCCGUUAGGGAAUCCAGAUCCCACCGACCUUAUCAACGCAGAAACCAACAGAAUCCCUUUUAGAGCCGAGAAUUUUUCUUUGGAUCUGUGGAAGGACACCUUCCGUUCCUGGCCCAGUCCUACCGUGGGAUGGAAGGAUUGGUUCUUGAGAGUUAGCCAUUCAAAUGAAGUCCAAUGGGGUGAGAGAAAACUGGACCAAUGCAUCAGGCUGUCUAUUGCCGAUAUGCAUAGGAAUGAGUCACUGCUGAUAGCUGCAUCGUAUUUUUGGUUAGACACACUCAAUGCCUUUAUGUUUGGCCAUGGCCCUGCUUCCCCAACACUUACCAAUGUGGUCAUGCUCACCGGCCUAGAUGUAUCCUCUGCCGAUAGCACCCAUUUUUUCGACACCAAACCCAGUGCUAAGGUAGAAACUCGUCCCAUCGGCGGUUGGUCAGGGUACAUCCAAAAAUACAAACGAACAGGCCCUGUUAACAUAAAAGAACAGACCAGCUUCUUGAACAUGUGGUUGGAAAAAUUUGUGUUUUGUGGUCGAUCGGCAGGACCAACCUCCGUCUAUCUAGCAGCGGCAGAAAGAUUAGCCAAUGGUGGCCGAUUUCCCCUCGUCUGAUACCUGCUUGGCGGAGCUUACCACCUCCUCCACCAAGUAGCUAAGAAACUCCUGCUCGGCCAGUCCAUCGGCAACUUGGGGGGUCCCUGGUGGUUUAUCAACAUGUGGCUUAGCCUCCAUAUGCACAAGCGCCUCGAGUUUGAUCUUUUCACACAACGCUUUCCCAGAGAUAUAACCGAGGACCAUGAGUUGGAGGAAGAAGAAUCGGCAACAUGCCCUCCCCUAAACUUUGGCGAGGCUGUCAUAGUUCUGCUCAGCACAGGAGGUAAUGCAGACCAAAUCAGCUGAUUCUUCCAAACCCUAUAUGAAGGCCUAACCAGAGAGCAGCGAGCAUCGUUGCCUUAUGAUGAUCCAGACACUACGUUCCCUUUGGUCUUCCAUCCAUUCAACGACGCUCUCAACAAGGAUCAUGAAGUGAUGAUGGCAUUGAUCACUCCUAGAGCUAUACCAGUAAACUUUUUUGGUAGUGGGAAAACCUCCAAUCAAACUUACGAGUUCUAUAACCCAUCGGCACUAGCUCGUCAAUUAGCUUUCGGCCAGCUACCGAUUGCACUCUGUUAUGCCGAUGUAAUAAAACCCAGGGAAGCCAUCACUAACCUCCUCGAAUGGAUUUGAGUAGCUCAACUACCAUCAAGUGCCGAUACAGAUGCAGAUUUGUCAGAGUGGGUCCCGGCCGCCUUCAUCACUCAGUCGUACAAACAAUGGUGGGUAGAAUGUAAGGAGCAUUUGUUCUGCAGAUCGGCCCUUACGUACCGUGGCAUGAUCGAUUCCCAGUAUGAAAUUCCUGAUAAUACUGUAAGUAUCUUCGAACCGAUGUUUCAAUUCUUUCAAUUUUAUUUCCAUCGGUAACUUACUUCUAUAUUGUUUUGCAGGUUGACAACACCCCUCCAUCGGUUAGUAGGAGUGGCAAGCCGAUUGAUCUUUUUCCACCAGGCCCGAUCUCUUCAAUCGGAAACAACGCUCCCACUUUAGCUGCCAAAAUGCAUCGAGGUGUGCGUCUGAAGAAAGUCACCACCAAACACCCAAAGACAUCUCCAUCAGUAGCUGCUUCCACCCUAGCACAAGCCUUCAAGGUAAUUAUUCGAACCCCUUUUCAUUCAUACCGAUUCCACUCUUACAUCUGUCACACUUGUGCUCACAAAUUUUCUUUUCUAUAUCAGCAUACCGGUGCAUCAGCAAGAACCAGAAGCACAAGUGUCGAUGCCCCCAGUCCAGCCAGCAGAAGAGAAAAGGUGCCAAGAGUGCCAGAGCCCAAACAAAGCGCCAGAGAGUAGCAACGCCCCCUCCUCCUCUGGUAUCUCCAAUCCCGGUGGAAUCCUCUCCUUCUUCUCCAGAAACACAGACACAGCAAGUACCAUCUCCCCUUUAGCCGCAAGAAGCACCUCAAAUGGAAGAACUCCACCCAGAAGAACCUCAGCCAGAAGUACCUCAGCCAGAAGAUACAUCGGCUGACAUGGGGGAGCAGGCAACCGAUCCAUCAGGAUUAAUCAUAUCAUCGGUAGUCUCUUCGAUCCAAACAAGUGCUGCAUCUCCCCAAGGUAAUACACUUCUUGUGCAAUCAUUGCCGAUGAACUCAUCUCUUCUGUUUUACAACUACUUCUGUUAUUCUUUCAGCUGACAUAGCUCAAUCGGCAGCCUCAGCCGAUCAACCUGUGAUCCCAUCGGCAUCUUCUAGCCAGAGGCGAGAGAUUGCCCUAAAACAAGUAAGUUAUCCAGUCCCCGUCUACAUUAUUUAUCAAUACCUGACCAUAGAAUAACUCGUUUUAACUCUUCUUCAGGAACAGGACUCUCCCGAUAGCCUAUUCUCUUUCGCCAUUGACAUCUCUGAAGAUGAAGGUGAAGAAGCAAGCUCUUCUCGGGCAGUUGGGAUCACAUCAGCAGAGGUCAGAGCAAAACUGGAAGAACUAUCGGCUCUCCUCCACCAAGAUACAGCCCAAUUAGUUGAUGAUUCUGAUCCAGCUAAGGCUCUAUUCAAGACCCUGAGAGGCCAAAUCCCAGCCGACGCCGAAGAAGUUCUCUUCCAAGCAGCACAUUUGGAGAGCCGUCAACUGCAGUACCAGAGGGCUGCCCAGCGCCUUGCCGAUAGAGCCACUCAGACUCAGCUUUCUGAGGAGAUGAUGAAAGAAAAGCUUCUUACCAAUGAAAAGCAUAAGAACAUCAGCACCUUGAAGUCCUCGGGAGAUGCACUAAAGCACAAGAUCUCUGAUCUGUCAGCAAAAAGGGAAGCCCUGCUCGCAGAACUUAAGCAAGUGGAAGAAGCCCUGUCCCAAGCUCGACAAGAGGAAAACCAGCUGCCCGAGGCGAUCAAACUCCUUGAGUAAGAUCGAAAUGUCCAUGGCCGCAAAGCGCUGCAGUUGAAGAAGAAAUUGAAGCCAGUGGAGGGCUCUGCCGAUGAAGACAUCCAAGAGAUAGAAGCAGCCAACCAGAUCCGCCUGCGUGCUAUAUCAGCGAUCUAGGCGUUGCUGAACAUGUGAACCCUUCAUCGGCAAUAUACCUACUUCUUUCUGCUUUCCUGAUAUUUAGUCUAGCCGAUAGGACUAUUAUCGGCAUCUUUUAAAACAUUAAGACCGGCCCCAGACAUAUUUUGAUCCAGCCGAUAGGAGUGUUAUCGACAUUCAAACUUUUAUGCAUCGACCCAUAUGCUUAGGUAGUAUUUCUUCAGAUAUUUGCCAUUUAAUGCUCUGGGAAAUUCAACUCCUUCGAGAGUUUCUAGAAUAUAGGCAUUACAAGGAGCCGAUCGACUUAUCCGAUAGGGACCCUCCCAAUUGGGAGACCACUUCCCAAAUUUUGAACUUUUAGUCCCGAUCGGUAAGAUCAACUUCCAUACCAAGUCUCCAUCGGCAAACUCCUUAGCCUUUACUUUCUUAUCAUACCAUCUAGCAACUCUCUUUUUAUUCUCUUCUAUACUCAUCAAAGCCCUUAGCCGAUACCCUGCUAGAUCAUCCAACUCGUCUGUCAUCAAAGUAGCAUAGUCAUCGGUAGUCAACUGAUCCUGAAAAGAUAGCCGCCUAGACCCAGUCUUAACUUCCCAAGGCAACACUGCAUCAUGCCCAUAUACCAACUGAUAAGGUGAAACCUUGGUAGAUCCAUGACAAGCCAUCCGAUACGACCAUAGAGCUUCGCUUAACAAUGUAUGCCACCUCCUCGGAUUUUCUUCAAUCUUUCGUUUAAUAAGCUUGAUAAUCCCUUUGUUAGAUGCCUCGGCCUGCCCAUUAGCUGGAGCAUAGUAAGGAGAAGAAUUUAAUACUUUAAUUCCCAUACCGAUUGCAAAUUUAUCAAACUCCCCUGAUGUGAACAUGGUGCCCUGAUCGACAGUAAUCAUCUGAGGAAUUCCAAAUCGGUAAAUGAUGUGUUCCUUCACAAAAUCAAUCAUAUUGGCCGAUGUAACUUUCUUCAAAGGAAUAGCUUCAACCCACUUAGUGAAAUAAUCGGUGGCAACCAAGAGAAACUUAUGCCCCUUGCUGGAUGGUGGAUAAAUCUGGCCAAUCAAAUCAAUAGCCCACCCCCGGAACGGCCAAGGAUUUAUGAUAGGAUUCAUAGCCGAUGCAGGCACUCUUUGAAUAUUGCCAAACUUUUGACAUCCUUGACACCCUUUGAAAUACUUAAAGCAAUCCUCCAGUAUAGUCGGCCAAUAAUACCCAUUCCUCCUAACCAUCCACUUCAUCUUAAAAGCCGACUGAUGUGCUCCACAUACCCCUUCAUAGAUUUCUCCCAUCAAACUCAUCGGAGAAGAAUCCCAUCAAUAGUUCAAUAAUACAAUUCAUCUUCGAGGAGCACAUACUUGGUGUCUUCAAACCGAACCCGUCUCUCAACUUUCCUAGAUGGAUCCUUCAAAUAAUAAAUGAUUUCUUUCCUCCAAUCAUCGGCACUGAUUGCCGAUAUUGCAUUAAUCAUAGGCUGAUAUCCCGAGGCAUGGUGAGCCAACCGAUUGGCCUCUUCAUUAUGCAAUCGAGGAACAUGCCCUAAUUGAAAAUCCUUGAAUUCCUUUAACAGUUGCAUACUCCUUUCGUAAUAAGUUAUGAGGACUUCACUUCGGCAUUCAUAGCUUCCAGCAAAUUGAUUUAUAACUAGCAUAGAAUCCCCGAAGACCUCAACCGCAUCAGCACGAACUUCUCUUAGUAACUCCAAUCCCCUUAUUAAAGCUUGAUACUCAGCCUGAUUAUUUGUCGAUGUGACAACAAUCGGCAAGGAAAAUUCAUACUUCUUCCCUCGAGGGGAAAUUAACACGAUGCCGAUUCCUGCCCCCUGUCACACGUGGAUCCAUCAAAGAAGAGCGUCCAAGGUACAAUUUCUAGAGCCUUCACUCCACCGCAAUGUUGAGUUACAAAUUCGGCCAUAAUCUGUCCCUUAACUGCUUUAGCCGAUUCAUAAUGCAGAUCGAAUUCCGACAGCGCCAAAAUCCAUUUACCGAUCCUGCCACUCAUAAUCGGCAUAGAUAGCAUAUACCGGACCACAUCAUCCUUGCAAAUAACAGUGCAUUCGGCCGAUAGCAAAUAGUGCCUUAACUUGAUACAAGAGAAAUACAAGCACAAGCAUAGUUUCUCAAUAGCCGAAUACCUGGUCUCAGCAUCAAUCAACCUCCUACUUAAGUAAUAAAUCACACGCUCUUUCCCUUCAAAAUCUUGAAUCAAAGCCGAACCGAUGACCGCCCCAUCGGUAGACAAAUACAAUCUGAAGGGCUUCCCUUGCUGAGGUGGAAUCAGAACUGGAGGAUUCACUAAAUAAUUCUUGAUUUCAUCCAGAGCCAACUGUUGUUCUUUCCCCAAACAAAUUCUUGAUCGGCCUUUAAUUUAAGAAGAGGACUGAAAGCACGAAUUUUACCAGACAAGUUAGAUAUAAAUCUUCUGAUAAAAUUUACCUUGCCGAUCAAGGACUGGAGCUCAGUCUUGUUGGUAGGGGCAACUAUUUUGUUGAUGGCAUCAAUAGAUCUUCGACUAAUUUCAAUCCCCCUUUGAUGCACCAUGAAACCAAGAAACUGUCCUGCCGAUACACCAAAUGCACACUUAUUGGGAUUCAUUUUCAAACCAUGCUUCCUUGUGCAUUCCAACACCUUUCGUAGAUCGGCAAGAUGCUUUGUGAAGUCUCCAGACUUAACCACUACAUCAUCAAUAUAAAUCUCCACCAGCUUGCCGAUGAAUUCAUGAAAUAUAAAAUUCAUGGCCCUCUGAUAAGUAGCACCAGCAUUCUUCAAGCCAAAGGUCAUGACUAUCCAUUCAAACAACCCGACAUGACGAGGACAUCUAAAUGCAGUCUUUGGAAUAUCCUCUUCAGCCAUGAAUAUUUGGUUGUAUCCUGCAUUGCCAUCCAUAAAGCUAAUAAUCCGAUGCCCAGCCGCAGUGUCAACUAGCAGAUCAGCAACUGGCAUUGGGUAGCCAUCCAUCGGUGUAGCUUUGUUAAGAUUCCUGAAAUCAAUGCAGACCCGAAGCUUCCCGUUCUUCUUGUAAACCGGAAUAACAUUGGAAAUCCACUCGGCAUACCGACACUACCGAAUAAAUUUGGCUUCAAUAAGUUUAGUUAUUUCGGCCUUGAUGUCAGGAAGAAUAUUAGGAUUACAUCGACGAGCUGGCUGCUGAUGUGGCCGAAAUCUAGACUUGAUAGGCAACCGAUGUUCAACAAUCGAUCGGUCUAAACCAAGCAUCUCAGUAUAAUCCCAAGCAAAGCAAUCUUUAUAUUCCUUUAACAAAUCAGUUAACUGUUGCUUACACUCAGGACUUAACUUAGCGCUAAUAAAAGUAGGUCUAGGUUUAUCACCACUACCUAUAUCUACUUCUACCAAAUCAUCGGCCGAUGUGAACCCCUGGCCUAACUUUCCAUCAUCGGCGAACCUAUCCAUUAAAAACCUUCAUCAGAGCCGACUGCUUGGAUCGGUGGAAUUUCAUAAUCGGCAACCUUGAGAAAAUCUCUCUCCCAGACCUCUCCUAAAAUACACCUAGUUCUUUCAUAGGUGUCUGCCUCUGCCGAUGCAACAACAUAGGAAGAAUCUCCCGGGACAAUUUCAAUCUUGUCACCUACCCACUGAACCAAGCACUGGUGCAUUGUAGACGGGAUGCAACAAUUGGAAUGAAUCCAAUCUCUCCCCAACAGUAAGUUAUAAGCACCCUUUCCACUGAUCACGAAGAAGGUUGUCGGCAAGGUUUUACUGCCGAUGGUCAACUCAACGCAUACGGCUCCCUUGACUGGAGACACGUUGCCUUCAAAGUCCUUGAGCAUCAUAUCGGUCUUGGUUAAAUCCUGAUCUCCUUUCCCAAGCUUCCGAUACACUGCAUAUGGCAUGAUAUUGAUAGCAGCUCCACCAUCAAUCAAAAUUUUGGUCAUCGGCUGACCAUCCACUCUUCCUUUGACAAACAGAGCCUUAAGAUGUUGCCUUUCAUCAUCGGCAGGCUUUUCAAAGAUAGCUGUCAUCGGAUCUAGGGCCAACUGAGCUAUCUGAUCAGAAAACUCCAAUUCGUCAUCGCUGGACGGCGCAAGGAAUUCCAUCGGCAACAUAAAUACCAUGUUGACAUCUGCCGAUGGCCCUUUCCCCUUAGGAUCUGCUUGUUGAUGAUCCCCAGACUGGCCAGAGUUCUCACCAUUGCUUAACUCUUCUCGUCUUUCGCGCUGCAGCCUUCUCUUUUGUGUCCUGGUCAACCCUUCUGGACACCAUGGAGGGAGUUGCUGUUGCCUUACCGAUGGGCGAUGAUAUUCUCUUGACUCCAUCCGAUAAGUAUUGGCGUCCCGACAGAAAACGAACUCAUUGGGAACCCGCACAUUAGCCAUCUCUUCGAGUUCCUCCUGGUUCCUGGGAAAAUCCUGAACACGAUUGCCAAGCCGUGCACACUGAGCCUGCCCCCCAGCCGAUCAUGAACGGACGCUCUCCCCCUAAUCGGCCCAUCAAAUCGCCGAUUACCAUCGUGAUAGCGCAGAUCGGAUCUGUCAUACCGAUCAUAACCGUUGCACUCAGGACAAUCUCUGAUAGUUGGAAGCUUAAUAUUCUCCUCCCAGCAAUGGAUGAAGAACGGACAAUUCCAGUGAUCCCCAUGCCGAUUCCACUCUUGUCGGCGUCUUUCUUCUUCCUGACGAUAAUCUUCCUACUGGCGCCGAUACCGAUCCUCACGUUGUUGCAAAGUUUCCCGAGGCCUUCUGUGAGUUAUCACGAUACCAGAUCGGGGAGGCCUUCCUAAAUUAGUUCCUUCCUGGAUUAAGCCUUUUCCUUUUGCAUCUGCAGUAGUGACCUGAUGCUGGGGAUCUACCGAUGCACCUCUUUCAGCUGCUUCCGACGUCAAGACUUUGGCCUUUCCCUUAGCAUCCAGCAUGUUUGUUGGGAAGGGAUGUUGAUCAAUUUUCAUCGGCUUCUGAGUUUUGGAGCUGUCAAAUUUGAUCCUUCUAGAUUCUAUAGCCGAUUGCAGCUGCUGUCUAAAAACUUUACACUCAUUAGUGUCGUGAGAAGUUGCAUUGUGCCACUUACAAUAUUUCAUCCUUUUCAAUUCCUCGGCCGAUGGGAUCACAUGAUUGGGUGACAAUUUGAUUUGACCCUCUUGAAGUAGAAAGUCAAAUAUCCUAUCGGCCUUAGUGAUGUCAAACGUGAACUUCUCUGGCUCUUUAUGUCCAAAAGGACAAGACAUCAGCUUUUUAUUUUUCACCCAUUCUGCCGAGCCGAUGACUCGCUCUUCAUCAGAGUCCGAGCUUGCAGCUUCAUCCACAAAUGAUACCUUUUUAUUCCAUGCUCUUUUGGGCUCGAAAGGCUUGAUAUCUUGAUCAGAAAUUCUCUGCACUAAAUGACUUAAGCUUUCAAACUCCUGAGACGCAUACUUGUCCCUUAUGUGCAGCAAUAAACCCUGGAAAGCCAAAUCGGCUAGCUGCCGAUCAUCCAGAACCAGGCUAUAGCAUUUGUUCUUGACCUCCCGUAUCCUUUGCACAAAACUUUCAAUCGAUUCAUCAUUGCGUUGCCUCAAUUGGACCAAAUUGGUGAUCUUCUUCUUAUGGACACCAGAAAAGAAAUAUUUGCGGAACUGCUUCUCUAGAUCGGCCCAAGUAACCACUGAGUUGGGAGGUAAUGAUAUAAACCAAGUAAAAGCCGAUCCAGAUAAUGAUGACGAGAAUAAGCGAACCCUUAACUCGUCCCUGUUAGCAGCUUCUCCGCACUGGAUAAUGAACCUGUUGACGUGCUCCAUGGUUGACGUGUCAUCCUACCCAGAAAACUUAGUAAAAUCCGGUACCUUGUACCGAUUCGGAAGUGGGAUCAAAUCAUAUGCGGGAGGAUACGGUGUCCGAUAAGAGUAAGUGUUGACUUUGGGUUUUAUCCUAAAUUGGUCUUUCAUCACUUCAGCAAUCUUAUCGGCCCAAUAAGCAUCGGCAUCUUGCCGAUGAGGCAGUUGCGGAUCCGGCACCUGCUGGUAAGCUUCCACGUGUCUGUGUGGCACACGAUCUGUAUGGAACAUUGGGUUAAUCAUUUGGCCACCCACCUACUGACCACCAAAGUGCUGUGCCCUGAUCUGUUGUCCGCUGAUUUGCUGCCCAAGAUUCAUUGGCUGGUUAGGUAGUCCCUGAUUAUGGAACCCAGGGUAGAUCUGGCCUUGCUGGAACCCUGUAGCCUGAUGAUUCUGUUGGGGCGUUUGCGGAAAGACUUGCUGCCCAAGCCAUCCACUAUUAGCAUUCAUCGGCAUAGGUCCUGCCAAUGACUGGUAAUUGGGCAUCAUCAUUGAAUUGACAUACCCUGGCUGAGUCAUAAGCCUCUGUUGCAUCAGCAUUGAGUCUGCCGAUACGUUAGGCAUCUGGAAAGUUGGAGCUUGAGAAUUCCCAGUGUAAGGUCUCGCAGUGGUGGUUGUAGUAUACUGGGGACUCUGAUUCAUCGGCAUAUUUGGAGGUGCCGAUGCCAUAGGAGCCUUGCCUCUCAUAUCAGUUGCCUAAGAUGUGCCAGGUGUCUUCAAGUAUUCCAGGGGCAUACCAAAACCCCACCAGUUAGGAGGAGGGACUGGUCCUGACAUCGCCGAUGCCAAUAGAUCUGUAGUGAGCUUAAUCUGCUCAUCUGAAGUCGGUGGAUUAGUUGUCAUCGGCAUAGAUUGUGCAUUAGUGACUCCCAACGUGCUUGGAGCAACGGUAGUCUGUGUACCCGCAGCGGCUGUAGCAGCCGAUGGAGCUGUGACCACCGGUGAUCCUGGUUGAUGAUGAGAGGGGCCCACAUAAUCUGGUGGCAAUUGUCCUUCCUUGAAAGUUCUAGCCACGGCAUUGAAGACUGUAUUGGAUAGCACACCAGCUUGGUUGAUCAAGGCACGGUUGAUAGCACUAUCGACCAUCUCUUGAAGUUUACCAGGAUUGGCUUCAAAAGUAACCUGUCGAGACAUCAGCAGCGCAUCCUUCUGGCUCACUUCGCCGCUCCUGUUCAUGCUGAAGGACCUCAGGCAUUGCUGCUUGUAAUCCUCCAUGGCUUUAGCAAUAGCUUGCUUCUGCUCAUCCUUGAGAUUGGCUUCCAUCACGGGGAUGACGUUCUCCUGAUCAAACUCAGUAGUCGACAUGUUGAUUUGAAUCUGGUCCCACUGGGCAUGCGAAAAGAUGUGUCUUGAUGCAAAAGCUGAUCUGCAAACACAAAGGGCUAAUACCCGAUUUAAACGUUAAGGCGUGCCAGCCGAUUUGACCUUACUAUCGGCAAAGGUGAUAACUUGAAUACUUUGGUCCCGACAACAGCGAUGCGCCCGGAUGCCACGGCCAAGAGGUAUUCACGCGGAACUUGAGAAUACGCCGAGCUUAAGUCGACGAACUCCUAAGAACUCGUAAUAAAAAGGAAAAUAUGACGAAGUCGUCGAAAAAGUAGAUGCUAGAAUAUGAGUAGAAACUUGUGUUUGAUUGAUUGAUAGAUGUCUGUAUUACAAUGCCCUAGGGUCUACAUUUAUACCCUACUCAAAGAGCUACAACUAGACAUGACUAGAACUCGAAUUCCAAACAGAAUGCGUGUACAAAACGAUUUAAAUAACUAAGGAAAUCAUAAAACUAUCCUUUCGUGACAAACUAGGAUACCUCCACUAGCCGACCGGCAACCUCCGGGCUUUUCUUCCGCAUCAUCGGUAGACCCCCUUAUCACAGCUAUCUGCACCAACUAACAUCGACCAUCGGCACAAACACAUCACCACCUAUGAACUUAGUCAUAUUCAGCAACCCCUUCAUCGGAAACCAUCCUCAUCGGCAGCUUCUUCCGCAGAUCAAGUACUGCCACCGCAUCUUGCCAACCAAUACUCUACCGAUCCUGGAUACGUGUCCAAAAACGGUGUCAACACACUCUAUCUCUCUCAAUCUAGUAGAAACUAGAAGAUCUAUUUCUACUCACAUUGGUUGCUAAGCCUAAAAAGAAAUUUUAUUUAGAGAAGAGGUUUUCCUUCGAGGGCUCCCCUCAACUCUAUGAUAAACUUGUCUCCUCCAGGGGCCAGGGGGUCUGGUUUUAUAGUCCCCUCAAGUGAACGUGAGCCAUUGGAUCAAACCGACAUUGAUUGGACGGUUAUCCUUGAUCCUUUAGGUCGGUGGAACGUCGUGUGCGAAAAGAGUCCUGAUUGGCAUCCAACAGAGGGCGGGCGCCCAGGUCCUUAGGGCGGGCGCCCUAGGCCUGGCCCCUUUCGGCCUCCGCUUUCUUCCCAUGGCUUCUGGAGUCUUCUAGAUGGUAGAAAAUUGCACGGUGCAUUGAUAUCUCUAUGUAGUCCCGACAUGUGGGCCUUUCUUCCUUAUUUCCUGAUAACCCCCUGUAGAAACAGAUAAACAACAAAACUCGUGGAAUUCUGUCAGAUCAAACCCUAAUUCUAGGUGUUGUUUGUAUAUUGGUCCUUUCUCUUGUUUAUUUGAUAAUUAAAAUUGAUACUUAAGAACCGUCAACAAGAGUCAGCGUGGGGCCCAUCUGCUUGCAUGCAUGCAAGUGUUCACGUAAGAAGGUACAGGAGCUGUUGGGGCCCAUGUCCUUUUUAUAGGAGGCAGCUGUGCUACUUGUUGACAAAUAAAAAAAAUGCAUGUGCAACGUCUGUGCUUUUCCUAGAAGGAGCCAUGCUCCUGCCCGUUGUCACUCGCGUAGAAAGGGGAGAGCGGGGUCUGCUAGGGCCCACACAUGUGAGUGGUCUGUGCUGCCUGUUGGUGAGUCCGUGUGAGUGCUUGGCUGCUUGGCUUCUAGAUUAAGACCCAGCACCCCCCUUCCUCUCUCCCUCUCUAAACCAGAAAAAGAACGCCCCUCUCCUUUUCUUCUUGGCAAGAACAGAGAAGCAAAAGCUCCGCUCUCCACUCUCACUCCCAAGGAUUUGUGCUCCAUUCAAGUGAGAGAGCAAGCUCUAGAGAUCGAUUUGAGAGCUCCAAGAGGAUCUCAUCCCUCUCCUCUCCAUUUCCAUGGUUGGUUCUCUUUGGUGAGAGGAGUUGAGGAAACCCUAGUGUUCAUGCAUUUGUGAUUCAUAUUUGUGGCACUAGGUUGUGAUUGCAAUUGUGGAUUUCUUAUUACUCUUGGUGAUUGCCGUCACCUAGAUAGUUGUGGAUUUGUUGAUUGGUGAGGAGAUUUGGUUAUUGUGUCCGCCCCUAAUCAAGGUGAUAUUUGUGAGGGGUUCUUGGGCUUAUUCCCCGGUGGAGUGCCAAAAGCCACUCUAGUGGAUUGCUCGUGUCAUUGAGCUACCUCACUUGUGUGUAGGUUCUUGUGGUGCCCAUUUGUUUGGCUAGGUUUGUGAAAAACCUAUUAGCCACCGAACCACCAAGUGUUGGUCCGCACAACAGGGACUAGCAUGUCGGCAAGCACGUGAACCUCGGGAGAAAAAUAUUGGUGUCAAUAUUGUGAUUGGUAUUCUCCCGGUGAAUAUAUUGAUAUACAUUGUGAUUGGUUCAUCCUCUACAUAUCGGUAUAAUUAUCACUCACCUCUUUACUUUCUUGCAAAUUAGUUGUAACUAGUAGUUCAUAGUUUCAGCUAGUUGUAACUAGUUGUAGAGACUAGCGACAUAAUCAUUGCUUGUGAAUAGGGAUCAUACCAACUAGAAUUAUCAUAUAGGUGGCUUGCAACUCUUGUAGAGCUAGAGCAAAAUUGCUUUACGCCUUUUGUUAUAUUAAUCCUUUGCUCUAGUGCUUUGUAAAUUUUUUAAAUAGGCUAUUCACCCCCCUCUAGCCAUAUUAGGACCUUUCAAGUGGUAUCAGAGCCGUGGUCACCAUUUAAUCAAGGCUUAACAACCUUCGGUGUCAAAAGAUGGCUCAAAUUAUGUUCAACCAUGUGGGGGGCAAACCACUGUUCUUUGAUGGUACAUGCUAUGAUUAUUGGAAGAGAAAAAUGAAGAUGUAUUUGGGUUCAAUCAAUGAUCAAGUGUGGGAUGUGACCGAGAGUGAUUUUGUGAUUCUUGAUCCCACUAAUCUCACCAACCAAGAUAAAGCAAACAAGCAAUGCAAUACUAUGGCUCUCAACACUAUAUAUAAUGCAAUUGAUUCAAAGGUGUUUGAGCAAAUCAUGGAUUGUGAUAGAGCAAGUGAAGUGUGGAAGAGAUUAGAGGAAACAUAUGAGGGCACACCGGCGGUUAAGAGUGCAAAAUUGUAUAUUCUCAAAGAUAAAUUGACAAGCUUCAAGAUGAAGGAUGAUGAGAGCAUUCUGGAGAUGUUCCAUAGAUUGCAAGUAAUUGUGAAUGAUUUAAAGGCCUUGGUUGAGAAGAUAAGUGAUGAUGAUGUAUCUCAUCGGUUCUUGAUGUGCUUACCUCCAAGAUUUGAGACACUAAGAUUAAUCAUUAUUAUAAGUGGAGGAUUGAAAGAACUUACGCCUAACCAAGUACUAGGUGAUGUCAUGACACAAGAGACAUAUCAUGUGGAAAGGGAAGGGGUUGACCAAGAUGAGAAGAAGGAUGAAGACAAGAAAAAGAAAAGUGUGGCAUUCAAGGCUAGUUCAUCCAAGAGCAAGGGCAAAGCAAAGAAAGAAGGAUCAAGUGAAGAUGAGGAAGCUAGUAACAUUGAUGAUGAAGCACUAGCUCUCUUUGUGCGCAAGUUUGGCAAAUUUAUGAAGAAAAAGGGCUAUGGUGCAAGAAAAAGAAGAGAUCAAAAUAAGACCAAAGAAUAUGUGAGAAGAUGCUACAAAUGCAAGAGCAAGGAUCACAUUGUAGCGGAUUGUCCCUACAAUAGUGACAAUGAUGAGGAUGAAAAGAAAAAGGAAAAGAAAGUAAAGAAGGAGAAGAAGGAGAAGAAAAUGAUAUUCCAAAAGAAGAAGAAGGGUGGUGGCUAUGUGGUGACUUGGGAUAGUGAUGCUUCUUCAGACAUUGACGAUUCUAGUUAUGAUGAUAAGAAAUCCAAGAAAAAGGCACUUGCAAGCAUCGCCAUCAACAACAAGCCUGCUCUCUUCGACACUCCGUCGACAUGCCUCAUGGCUAAACCCACUAAGGUACAAUAUGAUGAAAGUGAUGAUGAUUGUGAAAGUGAUGAUUGUAGGAGUGAUGAUGAUGAUGAAGAGUCAAAGGAAGAACUCAUGGACAUGUUGGAGAAUGCUCACACAGGUCUUGAGAUGAAGAGAAAGGAGUGCAAUGAAUUGCGAAAAGAGCUCAAAGCUCUCAAGCAAUCCUUUGAUGAGCUCCAAGCUUCUCAUGAGAGUCCAAAGGAAGACCAUGAGGAGCUUGGCAAUGCUCACUCUAAGAUUGAAAAGGCUCACUCCUCUCUCCUCGAGCAAGCUAAGAAAGAGGAAGUUAUUGUGACUUGUGACAAGGGCUCUACAUAUGAUUUAAUUAAUGAAUCUUUCAUUGAGCCUAUUAUUAUUGCUUCCACUAACUCUUCUUGUAGCACUUCCACUUCUACCUCAUCUACUAGUGAUGGUUUCACUUGUGAUGCCACAUUAAUAAAUGAAAAUGAGACCCUCAAGAAGGUCAAUGAGCUCACUCACGCCUUAGGCAAUUCCUAUGGUGGUGAGGCCCGCUUGCUAAAGUGCUUGGGUAGCCAAAGAUUUUCUCUCAACAAAGAGGGAUUAGGCUAUAACCCCAAGAAAGGCAAGGCGGCCUUUGCUACUCAUAAAGCUAGCUUUGUGAAGGGCAAUGGUCGGUUUUACACUAGAUGCAAGCAAAUUGGGCACAUAGAGCAAUAUUGCAAGAACAAGAACAAACCAAAUAAUGUAUCCUCAAUUAAAUUUGAUUCUUGUUAUAUGCUUACCAAAGUUGUUAAUGGGGUGCAAGCUAAGUUCAUUGGUGCACUGUUGGGCAUUCUUAACGUCAUUACCAAAGGUAGACUUAGUUUUCUAAUUCUGAUAACGGCGCCAAAAAUGCCGAAUCUAUCCCUCAUGCCACUUAAGCCAAGUUGUCAUCUCCAGCAUGACAUGAGAGACGCGGUAUUGAAAUAUGCAAUUGCUCUUCUGAAUGAAUAAUAAAUGAGAUCUGCAAGCGCACAGAUUAAUACCUAUGUAGCAUUUUAACCGGGAAGUAUUCCAGGUAUCGUUAUUUAUAUUUUUACCACUGGGAAGGGAUUGCUAAUCAUCAAUGUUGAUCAUGGAAUGAAAUAUAGAAUUGAGUAUCUAUCAUUGCAUGUGUAAUAGGGAGCAUUUAUCUAUCUCUUUUAUAUAGGGAUAAAUGUCAAAUAAAAUAUAGAUAAAGUAUGAAUGGUGACAAAGAUAAUUAAUCUGAUUAGCAUAACUAGCCACAUAUAAUAAUGAUAAGCACCUCAAUAGAUAUUCUAGCAAGUCAUUAGUAUGGAAUUAGGACGAACUACAAGAAUAUUUCCUAAGUUAUUCUUAACUAUAAAGUUUAACAUAUCAUAGUUAGUGCAAUUAUACUUGGCAAUCAUUGCGAGACAGGACUACGCCCAUGAGUGAUAUUAUCAAGGAAGAUGAGAAACAUAGCAAUCACUCUCAUAUAAUAAUGUUGCUCUGCCUGCCCUAUACACGGGAGGGGGACUAUAUAAGAAUCAAUGGAGCUGUCACCACCACGAACUACCCCGCGAUCCGGCAUAUAGGGUACAAUCGUAGAUAAAUACUGUAUAGGCACCACGCCUACACAAUACUUAUCAUUUACCCAUUGUACACAUGGAUAAACGCUAUACGAUCCUAAACAUGUAUAUAAUUCCAAUCUAACUAAGUCAAGCAUAUAACUAUGAUAAAAUAAGAACGAUAUAAUUGCAAAUAUAAACAAGUAGAGUAAAGUCAUAAUCAAUAUAUUGAAGUAGAACAAAGUCAUAUUCAUAAUAUUGAAGAACAAUGAUGAACAAAUGAAGAACAGUAGAGGAAUUACCAAGAAUCUUCUUGACAGGUCUGGAAACCAAUCGAAGAUUGACUCCUAGUUCUAAUCCUAUGUAGCUAUGCUAAACAAGAGAUCUAGUUGAUGUGGUGGCUCUAGGGCUUGAUCAGAGACUUCUUCUCCCGAGAUGAAUGAUUGAAUUAGGGUUUCAGAGGUUCCUCCUCCAGGGGCCAGGGGGCCUGCUUAUAUAGUCCCUCCAAAUGAAUAUGGGCUGUCGGAUCAAACCGACCUUAAUCGCACGGUUUUUCUUAAUCCUCUAGGUCGGUGGAGCAUUAUCCGCGAGACGGAGCCUGAUUGGCCCAGGCAGCAGGGCGGGUGCCGAAGGGGGGAGGGCGGGCGCCCUGUCCCCAGGCCCUUUCGGCCUUCCGCUCGUUCCCAUGGCUUCUGGACUCUUCUAGGUUAGGGAAAAUUGCACGGCAUGUAAUUAUCUCUAUGUAAACCCGACGUGUGGGCCUUUCCUUCAUAUUUCCUGAUAACCCCCUGUAGAAAUAGACAAACACCAAAACUCGUGGAAUUCUGUCAGAUAAAACCCUAAGUCUGGGUGUCGGUUGUAUUUGGGUCCUUUUCUCUAUUUAUUUGUUGAUUAUAUUUGAUACUUAAGGACUGUCUACAAACUCCCCCAAGCUUACCUCUUGCUCGUCCAUGAGCAAGGAUAAUCUCAGUGAUGGAUCAGAAGUUGCUGUAAUGCCUUUGAGUUUUGACGGUACACAUGCUUUCAAAUAAGGUCUCAUCUCUGAGUUAGAGUAAAUUGUCAUGACUUAAAACUUACUCAUUUUACCUUUCACCAUGGGACUUGUAACCGUCACUUCUGUCUUGAGCAGUUAAAAGAUAGAAUGGUCUAGUCAAGCGCCAUGUCUCUUAUUUUUGAUCAGCUAUAGCUCUGGAGUUUUUGCAGAUUUUCAAAUAAAACUCAGAGAUUCCUUGUAUGACUCUCUCAGAUCUCUCUUUUGUGGUAUUUCUGGAUCCUUACCAAGGCAGUGAUGGUAUAUGCCUUCUCUCAAAGUAUGUAGUAUUUGUGGUAUGAAGCAUAGUGACCUUGCCUUCUCUCUCACCCUACUUUAAUAAGGCUUUUGAUAUCUGGAGCUUAUAGGUUGGAGAUAGAGUAUACAUACUUACAAGACAUUUAUUGCAUAGUCAAACCAUGGAUCCAGAGGAACAAGUCAAUAAGUCAAAUCAAGAUGUGCAUGUGUGGCGAAUGAAUGGUGUAUGGUGAUGAUGGUGAUAACAAUGGUGAAAGUCUAAUUCUACUUUUUGCUCUUUUGAGGGGAUACAUACCGUUCUUGCUCUUUUGAAACUUUUUGAGGAGAAUGAGAUGCUCUACAUUUUCUUUUUCUUUCCUCUCAAGUGGGUAUCUUGUACCCCUAAUUCUACUGUCAGACACUUGUCCAUUUUUACCUCUCGCCUCACUUUUUCUUUUCUUUCGAGGUUCCGGGCACUUGCCCCUUUUUAUUUCCUUGUAUACUUUCUCUUUUUUUUCUUUUUUUUAGAGCACUCAUCUCCUGAAAUAAUACAGCAAAUGGUGGUAACCAAGAUAACUUGAGCAUUUAUUUCACAGGGAAAAACAGAAAUAGGAGAAUGUUUUUGGCUCUUCUCUCCCGGAUUAGGAGUAGAAUACUUUUGGGUGGCUCUGGAGAUGGAAAUGAGUGGAUAUAUGUGGAUGCGUACUUCCAGAGUACAAACAGCAUGUGUGAGUGAACGUGCAAGUGAAUCUUGAUUUUAAUCACAUGACAAGUUCCUCAGGGUCUACACAGCUUGACCACACUCAAUGCUCAUAAGCAGUAAAAAGUAAAUGUGUGGCUCAAAAUCUAGCAAGCAUGUAUGUAUGGCUGUGGUAGGAAUUUAAACUCUCAUCAUACAGGAACUCAUCAUGUGAUAUUUUAAAGAUUUUCAAAGAUAAAAUUCUCCAGUGUUGAUGAAAAAGCUGAUCUGCAAACACAAAGGGCUAAUACCCGAUUCAAACGUUAAGGCGUGCCAGCCGAUUUGACCUUACUAUCGGCAAAGGUGAUAACUUGAAUACUUUUGUCCCAACAACAGCGAUGCGCCCGGAUGCCACGGCCAAGAGGUAUUCACACGGAACUUGAGAAUACACCGAGCUUAAGUCGACGAACUCCUAAGAACUCGUAGUAAAAAGGAAAAUAUGACGAAGUCGUCGAAAAAGUAGAUGCUGGAAUAUGAGUAAAAACUUGUGUUUGAUUGAUUGAUAGAUAUUUUUUGCAAGGCCCCAGGG